UUUACUUUACUGUCGAGCCCUAUCCGAUGCUAUUAAAUAAAAUAAAAUUAAAAUAAAUAUAUAUAAAAAUAUAUUAUAAUCGGCUUAUCGUGAUAUGCGGAAUAUAAAAUUAUAUAUAAAAAUAAAUAAAUAUUUUUCAUCGUAUUUUCUCAUUGUAUGUAACGUAAUUUUCCUGCAAUCCCAAAUGAAAUCUUAGUCUUAUUAAUUUUUUUUUUUUUUUUUUGGUUAGAGAAAGGUAACGCGCUGCUCACUUUAUUUAUUUUUUUAGAAAUAGAUUUAGCUGAAAAUAUGAAGCAAUUAGGUUUCGAAUUUAAGACUUCGGGCAUCAACCAUUAAGUCCUUUGCUACUUGUGCUAGGGACAGUCAGUGUUUUAUUAAUUGUUUUAAAAUAAUAACGUACAGAAUUUAUUUAGAUUAUAAACUAUUUUGAAUUAACUAUUCAAUCUUUUUUUCUUUUUUUUUGAGAGAGAUAGGUAGCACGCUAUCCGUUUCGUUUAUUUCAUUUAGAAAUAAACUUAGCUAGAAAUGUGAAUCAAUUAGAAUUCGAACUUAGGUCUCGAGUACCAAUCACCAAGCCCUUUGCCACUUGCUCUAAAGACGGUUGGUAACUAUUUAAUCUUUUAAAAUUAUGAUCUUACUAAUUACUAUCCAAUCUUUAAAUUUAUUUUAUGUGAGUUAGUUAACAGUACUUUGACUUUAAAUGUUGAAUGCUUCAUUUAUCUUUACAGAUUUAAUUAGUAUUUUUCAUGUGAUUUUCGCAAGAAAAAUUUAGUAAAAUAAAUAAUUAACUGUGUCGCUGACUAACUGAAAUCAAAUAAUUAAAAGAUUAGAUAAUAAAAUUAAAAUUUUAAAUGGUUGGGUAACCGAUUCAAAAUGAUCCAUAGUUAAGAUAAAUUACGUAUGGUUUACUUUUUAUUUUUUUUACUAAAACCUAUUUAAUUAUUGUGAACCCUAGAUGGGAAGUAAGAUCUACACCUAGAUGCAGCUGGACUUGUAGCAUUUUACUUUACAAAGAGCCAUCCAAUUUUUAAAACAUUUAUUUUUUAAAAAUACUUUAAUUUGUCUUUUUAAAAAUAUUUAUCUGCACCUCUUUCAUCCAGAUAUUUAUAUAUUGUACCUAAUUUCUUUUUUUUUAAAUGCAUGUCAUAUUGCUAAUUCAAUCCUUCAAUUCUCAGCAAAUAUGCUAUACAUCAAUUAUUUUUAAAUGCAUGUAUCAUUGUUAAUUCAAUUGCUUGGUCUUUAACUACAAAAGGUCCAUAACUCAUUCAAAUAAAAUUAAUAAACAGCUAAAAUAAAAAAGCCAUAAAAUUAAAUGUUAUUUUCAAAUGAUCUAAAGUUCAUAUUAGCUGCACAUAUUCUUAACAAUAAAAAAAUAAAAAAAACAUACAGAACUUACAUGAACAAUGAAUUAUUUCGAACAACUACCCAAACUUUUAGAAAUUUGAUUUUACUACCCAUUAUUUCUAUUUGUUUGAUUUGAGUUAGACGUCAGCACUUUGACUCCAAAAACUAAAUUAAUUAUUUAUUUUAAUAAAUUUAUAAUUAGGAGAAUUGUAUAAAGUAUAUAAACUAAAAAUGUAAAAAUAAACAACACAUUCAAAUUUUGAAUUCGAAAUGUCAUUAACUGACUCAUAUUAAAUAAAUUAAAAAAUAUUCGAUAGUAAAAUUAAAACUUUAAAAGAUUGGAUUGCCAACUCAAAAUGACUCAUCGAUCAAGUGAGCUCUAUAGAUUUUUACCCUAAAAAAAAAAAAUAAUUGAAGAGAUGUUUUGGAAUAACGGGCCGCAAGUUUCGAAUACUUGGGCCGAGUUUGCAAAUGGGUUGGUCUGGCCGGGUCAUAGGAUCAACCAGCCCAAGUAGAAAAAGAUUAAGAAUUAGGUCAUUCUUAAGACCAUUGUGAUGGGUUAGAAUACCAUCCAUGACUUGGGCUCUAUUUGGAAUCGCAAGAAAUAUGAACCGUCGGAUAGGAAAAUGGGAUAUAAAAAUAUUCUAUUUCUUUCUGUAAGAAAUUGUAAAUUGUUAGCGAGCGAAGUUAGGAUAUGAAUUCACAGUCCAACUCGAAAUAUAGAGAAAGAUACUUCCAUUUACUUUCGCUCCCGCCUCUUUUUUGCUCACUAGUGAUUAGGGGUGGCAAUCUAACUCGCUGAUGGCGAGCCAGCUAGUGUUUGGCUCGAAAUGAGCUCGAGAUCAAAUCGCUUGUCUAGUAAACGAGCUGAACACGAGCCGAGUUUUUCAGUUCAUUUAAUAAACAAGCCGAACACGAGCUGGAGUUAGCUCGCUCGUGUUCCGCUCGAUAACAGCUCGGAUACAUAUAUUUUAUAUCUAUAUAAUUUAUAUACUUUAUACUUAUAUAUAAAUAAAUAAUUAUAUAUAUAUAUAUAAUAUAAAUUUUUAUUAUUUAAUUUUUAGCCCAACCUAAAUAUAAAGCUCAACUCAAUUAUAAAAAGGCUGUAAAGUUUCAACCAUUAGAUCAAAGCUUAAUAGAAAAGAUUUUACAAAUUUUUUUCUUAUAAAUAAUAUUUCUAAUCCUUUAAACUUGUUAUUUGUGAGCUAACUCGUGUUCGACUUGUUAAAUAAAUGAGCUGAACACGAGUUGAAUUUUUCGGCUCGGUAGUUUAACAAGCCAGUUUGUGUUCGGCUCGGUGACAGUCCUAUAUAUGUUUGAUCCAAGAAUGGCCCGACUCGAAUUUUUUGUGAAUUUGGCCUUAGGAAAAACCUAAAACACUACUUUUUAUUAUCGAAUUUGUAUAUUUUUAAAUGAUACUUUUAAAAGUCUAAGGUUUGAGAAUGACACUUUUUUAAGUCUAAAUUCCAGCAAAACAAAGUAACAAAAGUAAUGGAAUAAUACUUCUAUUAGGUUGGUGACUUCCAUCAAAACAAGCAACUUAAGAAGAAAUUUUGUCUACAUUAAUAAAUGAAACUGCACUACAUUUGACUUUCACCUGCAUUUAAGUUUUGUUAGUCCAAACCAGCCUUAAAAGCAAAACUAAUAUCACAUCAAUUUUUUUUUUUUUUUUUCAAAUUGAACGUACAUAUCACAGUUAGCUAAGAAUUUGACUAUUGAUAUCCAAAAUCCGAAAUUCAAAGCCUAAUUAUUUUAUAUUUCUAGCAAACAAAUAUUCAUCAAUUUCUUCAUAUAUGUUCUUGAUAAAAUAUUUGCCAAAUUGGUUCUAAGUUCUCAAUUAUAUAUAUCCAUGAAAAAUUAUGCAGUUUUUGUGUUUUAAAUUGAGAUAUUUGAUGUAUUUAUAUUACUUAUGAGAUAUAUUUUUGUUUAAACUAGGAUCUUUAUAUUUCACAAAUAUUACCUUGUUAAUAGAACUUUCGAAUUAUUUGCGCUCCUUUUUAUAAAACUGUCGCUUCGUCCCUUCGAAGGGUUAAUAUAUAAUUUUAAACCUUUAGCGAAAUAUAUUUAUUAUGAAGGAAAGAAAAAGAAGUACCAAAUUUAUAGAAGAACGUUAUGUGUUCUGAACCAGAAAUUCUUAUAUUAUAUUUUUAAGGUUAAAGUUGAUAGUUUGUCAUAAUUUUAAUUUUUAAAUUAUUUUGAACUAUUCAAAGGUACUAGAUCUCCUCAAUAAAUUUUUCGUACAGUGCCUAAAUUUUAUAUAUAAGCACAACUUCACAGGAUAACAAAUAAGGAAUUCCACAAUACAGUAACCCUAAUUUUUAAUUCUUCAAUGUUUAGUGCAUUCCAUGGUUGCUUUGAGGUUAGUGCCAAUAAACUUUGGAAAAGGUAAUCAUGUUACUUGCAAAGCAAAUUAAUGCCCAAGGAAUCACUUAAAAAAUUUGUUCUCCAGGAGAAGCUGGUGACAGGUGGAGUACACGAAUUAUAAAAAAUUAGAGCAAUUAAUAAUAAACUAAGCUAUAGCAUGUGGGGUUGAUCUAGAGAUAAGUGCUAUGAAAUGGCUUUAAUUUGUACUAAACUAUGUACUAUGCAGAUGAUACAUUCUCUUUUAAAUUUAACCUGGGUUACUUUUAUUUCGGUGUAUUUGUUUGUUAACACAUGGGAAUAAUAAAGAGUGGAAAAUUCAAGCUUUGCAGAUCCUACUCAAUCUAGGACUCUAUUUUUUUUAACUUUCUCCAGAAGGUGACCCUUCAAGGGACACCUUCUGCAAUCUUUUUAUUAUUCCUCUUUUUCUAAUAAAUUUUUUUUAAAGGUAAUUUUAAAUCUAACUAUCUAAAAUUUUAAAAUAUAACAGCGGUCCUGAAGAAAUCUAAAAUAUCACUCUUUUUUUUUUCUAAACUUCUAAAACAAUCAGUAAUAUCACUCUAAACCCCAAAUCAUAAGCCCUUCAAUAUAUAUAUAUAUAUAUAGGUUUGAGCUAGAAUAUUAUUGAUAGGAAACCGUCAUUUUUGCUAUCAAGUUUUGUUAAAAUUUAGUUGAUUUGAACUCUUCUAUACCGUUAAACGAGCAAACACACCAUAUCGGCCUUUAAAAUUAUAGAUUUUGUGACCCUUUGAUCGUUCAAUUAGUGAUGCCAAAAAAUCUUGAAAUUUGAUUUCUAGAUAAUUUAAAUAGUUUAGAUCAUAUUCAACGGUGCCGAUUGUCGACUUGGAAGCUCUAUCAUAAAAAAUAAAUCGGUAGUAAACCGAGCAGUUUACUACCGAUAGUAAUCCAGUCAAACUCUAUAUAUAUAAGGGCGCAAAUAAUAAUUUCUAAUUUUGAACUGCAUCUAUAACAUUACACUCUUUUCCAACGGUAUAGAAGAAAUUAACUUCUCUUUUUUUUUUUAUGUUUUCUUUUUUACAAAUAAGCCUUUCCUUAGAGUUAGAGUUCACCCAAGUAUUGAUCUGGAACAGUAAUGCCUUGUGCAUUUCAAGCUCAGAAUUCUCAGGAAAGAAAAUAAAAAUCAUCUAAGUUCUUUUGGUAAUAUGUUAAUUUACUUUGGAAAAAACAAUGUUUACGGUAUAACAAAAAAACGCAUAUUUUGACCUUCAAAAGAAGAAGCUGUAGAUUGAAACUAUUGUUGAUGUAUCUAGAAUUAAAUGUAUUAAUAAUUGUUUCUCCAAACAAUACGAUUUAGUAACACUUUAUCAAACAAUAUUGUACUCUACAAUUAAGUGCCGUUAGAUAAUGUGCUAUUUGCUAUCCAACGUUUAAAUACUAUUAUUAAAAGAGACCCCACAUUUAUAUAUAAAAUCUACCUUUUCUUCUCCGGCCAAGGAUUUUGGUGUUUAUUAACAUAAGUCGUAUCUAUCAUGUCGUAUCGUGCUAAUAAGAUAUCAGUAUAAUACAGCCUUCGUGCCGAUGGUACAAUUCAAAACUCUUUAUUUUUUAAAUUAGUAAGUAAUUUUCUUAAUGAAGUUCAAAAAAUUUGAUAAAAAUACAUAAUAAAUAAUUAAAAUAUUUUAUUGCUAAAAAAAAAAUAUUUCAUACUAUUAUGUGUUGGUAUACAUAAAUUUUUUUUGACCGGCACAUAUUAGCUUUUGUUAGUUAAUUCGUGAAUUAUUCGCGAAUUAUUCGGCUAGCCCAAAAAUUCGCGAAUAAUUUUCUUUUUUUGGAAAAAAAAUUCGUAAACAGACCGUUUACGAAUUAUUCGCGAAUUAUUGAAAAUCCGAAUUAAACAGUCUGUUUACGAAUUUUUUUCUAAAAAAAAAAAUUAUUCGCGAAUUUUCAGGCCAGUCGAAUAAUUCGUGAAUAAUUCGCAAAUUAUUUGCGAAUUAUUUUCGAAUUAUUAAAAAUCUGAAUAAAAAAUUUAUAAUUUUUAUGUUUAAAUAUAGAUUAUCUUAUAUUUUAUAUUUAAAUAUGAGUUCUCUGUCCGUUUGCUCCAAAAAAAAAAUUAUAUAUUUUAUAAUUAAUAAUGGGCUAUUUUAAUCUAUUUCUUGCUUGAUUGUAUAUAUACCAUAGUGUAUAAUAUAAUUCUCUAUAGCUUUUUUUUUAUUUAAUCUACUUUAUUUUGUAGCUUUUUAUUUUUAAGAAUUGUAAUUGUUUACGAUAGUAGUAUAAAUCUAGAAAAAAACUUUAAGUUUAAUAGGCGAAUUUUUUAUCCCGAAUUUUGAAUUGAUAAACGUAUAAUUUUCGUAUAAAUUACAUAUCCGAAUAAUUACCGAAUCUAUUUUUUAAGCUGUUCAACAAAUUUAAAAAUUAGAAAACGAAUUUUAUGCAUAUUAUGCCCGUACCAAAUUUUUGUUGAAUCUGAAUUAACUAACUAUGAUAUCCACACAGCCCGACACACAUCGUGCUGUAUAUCGGUAAAUUUCCGGCACAACUCUGUAUUAUGGUACUUAAAUAUUUGUCUCCAGCAGAAUUAAAAAUACUAAACUGAGGUAUCAUAUUUUAUCAUGUUUAUUUUUUUAUUUUUAAAUAAAUAUAAUUUGAUGUGUUAGAGAUUUUUUUUUUUUUGGCUAGCUUAAUUAUAAUGUAUCCCGCUAAUAUAAUAUUACAAGUAAAUAUUUCGGUUGAAAUAGUUGUAACUAAUUUACUAUCCAUUUUUACACUUUUAAUAUACAAAAAUUUAUUUAAAAAUAUAAAAAAAAUGAACAUGAUGUUAAAUGAGUCCUAAAAUUUUUAUUUUUGAGGCCAAACUUUUUGGUACUGAAACUAAACACAAGAGACAAAUAUACUGCUAAAAGCAGAAAAAGAAGCUUUGUUAGUAUCUAUCUAAGCCACGUUUUAUCGUUACCUUUUUACUGUUCUUGUCUCCUCAAAUUAUUGAGACUAGUCAACACAGAAAUUAAAGCAUAUAUGUACUCACCUAAUUCAUACAAUGUUCAUGAAAUCAUCUACACAUGCACAGUUAAUUUGUAGGAAUUGAUAUAUCCAGAAUAAAUUGUACUAUUACUUACACGCAUAAAUAUAUUCAAAAUUAUUACCAGAUAUGAUGUAUCUGUUUCGGCAACAAACAAAACAAUGCAUUAAACCUCUGUAUGAAUCAGGGGACAAAUGCAAUGAGAACAUUAUUAGGGCCUAUUUGGAUGUUAGAAUAAAUUAUUCAGAAAUAAUUUGUGAGAUACAAAAGUUCUCUCUCACGACGGCAAGCAAAACAUUUUCUCUAGCUCUUUGCAAGUUUUUGACGGUCACGAUUUGUCGCAAGAAUGUAUUUCAUCUCCGAGGUAAUUUAUAUUAUUCGGAGAAAUGACCUAGCUAUAAAUAGCAAAAAUAAUUUUUUUUUUUACAUUUAAUCAUACUUUUCAUAUACUAUAUAUCCGUAACUUUUCGAGAAUAUAAAAAAGACAUACCGAACGGAUGUUAUUUAAAUAAGUUAUUUUUUUCUAAUGCGUAACACACACUCUAUAUUGAUUCGCUUAAGAUAAAAAUUUAUGGUUGCGCUGACCAAAAACAAUAUAUUUUUAUAUAUUUUUGGCGGAUAAAAUUAGAACCAAACGAAAUGGUCCCUAAGAUUAGGAGAGGACGAGGCAGGGAUAUGUAGGUCUCGAUCAAGUUGGAUGUGCAUGCAGCUGCCCAUACCUAACAGAUCUCUAGCUGGCCCACUCCUAGUCCCUUCCCCAUCCAAUAAUAAAUGAGCAUGCACAUGCCAGUACUCCAGACCAGGGUGUCAACGAGCCGAAUACGAGUGGGGUAUUAUUUAAAUAAACGAACCGAACACGAUCAAAAAAAUUCAGCUCAUAUUCGGCUCGUUAAUAAAUGAGUCAAACACUAGCUGACGAGCUGGCCAAUAAAUAAUAAGUUAAAUGGAUUAGAUUGAAUAUGUAUGAAAAAUAAAUUUAUAAAAUCUUACUCAUUCGACUUUAAUCUAAUGGUUGAAAUUUUAUAUAUAAAUAAGUCUUUUUAUAAUUGUGCUCGCUUUAUAUAUAUUUUUUUACUAAAAAAUACUAAUAAAACAUUAUAUAUAUAAAAAUUAAGAGUCCGGUUACGGUGCUUGUAAAAGCACCAAGUUUUUUGUGCUUAUAAAUUUUCUACCAUUAGAUCUAUGCAUUUUAUUAUUUUCACCCGUUAGAUUAUACUAUUCAACCAACCACCCACUCAACCCUAGGAGGUCCACAUCAUCCUAACCGCAUAUCCCUUAAUCCAAGGGUCAAAAGCUUACAAGCACCAAUGACUUGGUACUUUUAAAAGUAUAGGAGCUCAAUUCUAUAAAUUAAAUAAAUUAUAUAAAUAUAAAAUAUAUGUAUUUGAGCUAUUAUUGAGCCGAACACGAACGAGCUGACCCCGGCUCGUGUUCGGCUCGUUUAUUAAACAAGCUGAAAAAUUCAGCUCCUGUUCAGCUUGUUUACUAAACGAGUGAUUCGAUCUCGAACUUAUUUCGAGCCGAACACGAGUUGGCUCGCAAACAACGAGCUGAAUUGCCACCCCUACUCAAGACAUAGACAUAUAUAUUGAAGCUAGAAUAAUAUUAACUAGCAAUGUACCUACACUGUGCUGCAGAUUCGAUAAGAAUAUUCUUAAUUAUAUUUGUAACAUAUAGUAUAUAUUACUAUUAAAUAUAUGUAUUGAACACAUAUUUUAAUGACAUUCAUUAGUAAAUUUGUAUACUAGAAAUAUAAAAAAAAAAAUUUUAAACAAAAUUUAAUUAAUUAAAUUUAUUUUAUAGUAUAUUAAAUAUGACUUUGUUAAAUGUAUUUUAUGCUAUUCAAAAUAUCUAUAUAUUAAAUGUUAUAAAUUUUUAGUUUAUUAAUUGAUUAAAGUUUAUGAUAUUUGGGUGUGGUUUAUGAUGCAUCGGGUGCACCGAAUUAACUAACAUAACAUGUGUUUCCUCCUCAUCUUCUUCCAGUCACUUGGUAUGGUUGCACCGGAUGCACCGAAUUAACCAUGUACAUAUGUUCCCUCCAUAUCUUCUCCCACCCAUUUUAAAAUAUAUAUAUAUAUAUAUAUAUAUAUAUAUAUAUAUAUAUAUAUAUAUAUAUAUAUUAUUUACUAUUAAUUUUUUAUCAUUGGAUGGGUAGAGUUUAGUAGGAAUUAAUUAGUGGAAUAAUAAUACUUUAAUUAAGGAUGAAAUAAUAAAUACUAUUCAAAUACCGUCAAUAAUAUAUACUUGGUGAAUUCUCUCUCUCUCUCUCUCUCUCCAACUUAAAAGGAUAAAUAUUUUAAUAAUAUACUAGGUGAACUCUCUCCCUCUCUUUCUAAGAAUAGAUAUUUUGUAAAUGCUUUGCGGUACACUAAAGUUGGUUGUUCGAUCAUAAUUGAUAGAAACAGUUAAAUCAUUGUACCACUAAUGACCCCUCGCACCAUUAAUGAUUCGGCCAAUUAGCAAAAAUAAUUUAUUGAAUGCAAACUACUGUCCCAGAAUACUUAAAUUUAUUUAUUAUUACUAAAGUGUGUGGUCUCUUAUAUUUUCAAUUAAAAUAUUUUUCUGAUCCAAUGUGGGGUUGUUAGAAUGUUAAAAACCCUCCUCGUUUAAACCCUUACGUUCUCCUCAAGUUCAAAACGAUCAUAGAUAUAUAGAUUAGAAUUAUCAGAAGAUAUGAGAUUCUUGGUAUCUCCUGUAGGUUCAAGAAGUGGUUACCAAGCGAUAGAUUCUAGAUAUGGCUCCCACCAAACCACCGGUGUAAUACUUUACCUAAUAUAACACUUAGUUUUCACACUUUCAAUUAAUAUUCAGCUCUAAUACCAACUGUAACAAUCUGAUUCGGUAGCACUUAGCUAUUGGCUGAAAAUGCUUAACCUUAUUUGUUAUUAUUAGAGUGUGUGGCCUAUUAUUUCCCAUCAGAAUCUUGUUUUCAUUUCGCCACCGUUUAGUUCGGGGUUAAGAAAAAGUAGCUAUUCCAGGGAUAGAGUUAAGUUCAGGAUUAAAAUAGUGUUAAAAUUUUUUUGUGUUUGGUUGAAGGUUGGAGUUAGUCUAGAAUAGUGAAAAAAAGUGUUUGGUUGGAGUAGGUGGGAUAAAAAGAUAAUGAUUGAUAAAGAAGAAAAAUGUGAGGGCUCGAGAUGCGUGCGGGGUUAAAGUUGGGAGGGGGAGUGGGGUUAAUGAUUGAUAAAAAAGAAAAAUGUGAGGGCUCGGAAUGCGUGCGGGAUUAAAGUUGGGAGGGAGAUUGGGGUUAGUAAACCCCACUAACCCGGUUUAGGGUGGGGUUUACUAACCCCACCCCUUAAGAGUGGUGUUUGGAUAUAAAUUGGGGGUUAAGGGGUUAUUCCACCCCUUAACCCCCAACCAAACGGUGGCGAAGGAGAUUGAGACGUUACAAUCAUAUAUAGUUGUCUUUUACUGCGGCAAGCUACUAUGUUUUUUAUUUUGAAAUUAAAAGUAAGGGAUAGAUUCGUCUAUUCUUUAUUUUUGCAAUUAUGAUUUGAAAACUUAUGCCUUACUGUUAUACAAUGCUAAUUUUGUUUUCCUCCAAAAAAUCUAUCAUUAAAUAUAUAGGAUGAUAAAAUACUAUAUUUUAUAAAGCACAAAGAAGCAUUGUCAUCUAGUGGUUUAUAAAUUAUAACACUUUAAUGCCCCAUUUAACUACAAAUCCUUAAUAUGAUUGGACAAAUUAGUCUGUCGAGCAUCAAAGUGUAUGUGAGACCCCAAAUAGUCCUAUAUAUAAGAUAUAUAAUAAGAUUAAAACUUUUAACCCGUUUAAAUAUUUUGGAUGGUGGCUAAGCUCAAGAGGUUAAGAAAGUUAAGCGUUUUAGGACGGGAGUAGUUCUAGGAUGGGUGAUUUCUCUGAAAAGUCAGCGUCAUAAUUGGUAUCAGAGACAAUUACGAGCCAGAAGUGUGAGAUGAAUUUCGGCUAAGCCAAAAGUAUACAGCGGAAAGACCGAGCCUCUCAUACUGUUGACUGUUGUAGGUAGAGCGCAGCUCAGCAUAAGAUCGAUUAAGACUAGCGAAAUGAGUCUUACAUCACCUAAUAUACUUGUGAGUCUGAGCUCGACGAGAACGUCAAGACUUAAAGUGGGGAGAAUGUGAGACUCUAGAUAGUCCUAUAUAUAAGUUAUAAUAGAGCUAAAACUCUUAAUCCAAUUUAAAUAUUUUAGGCGGUGGCUAGGCGUAUGAGGUUAAGAGAGUUAAACGUAUUAGAACAGGAGUAGCCCUAGAAUGAAUGACCUUCCAAAAAGUGGAAUGUCACAGUAUAGCUUUUGAACCGAUAAAGUAUAAAUAGUGAAAUAGACCAAACUACUGAGAAACUACGGAUUGAUGUGAAAAACUUUUUCUAGUCAAGUUAGAAGCUCAAGGUAUAUUUUUUAUUGUCAAACACUAGUAUGUAGAAAAGCUAUACCAAAUUCGACAAGCAGUAUCUCCCACUCUAAUGAAGGAAUAAAAGAAAAAUUAGUGGCUCAGGUAUCUGGUUCCCUCUCAAUGGCUCAGUGUUUCCUUUUGCAACAUAAAAGGUAGUUGUGCUGAGCUAUUCUACCCUAAAUUCACUUCAAUGUAGAAGCAAACUAGCCGAAAAUGAUAUUGGUGUGGAUAUAUAAACUAGGUAAUUAAACUCUACAUAUCCAUGUAGGUGAAAAAUCUAGGGUUAGUUGAGAACAUUAAAUGCUGUCAAGUGAGCAAACUACUAAUUAGGUGGAAAGAUAACAAACCCAAUUUAAUUUGGUACCUCUCGUAGAAUUACUCUAACUCCUAUUUACGUACAGGUGUUGAAAAAAAAAUGCUAAGAGGCUGUUUGGUUUGGCUCUACGUAAAAUUAUAAAAAAUAAGUUUUGGCAGAAAAAAUGUUUAUAUUUUUAAUUAACAUUUAGUUUGUAGGAAAAAAAAAGAAUUUUUUUAUCCAUACUUGUUAGGUCCACAUAUUUUGAUUUUUUAUUGUUGGACCUCCUAAUUCUUUUGGCGUGCAACAUGUUUGCCACAACCUUUCGCAGCUUGAGUUUUCGUUUAAAAAAUAAUAAUAAAUUGCAUGUUUGGUCCCCAAACCAUGACGUCAGUAAUAUUUUGGUUCUCAAACUUUAAUUUAUAAUAAGUUUUUACUCGAACUUUUAGAAUUUAUUGCAAUCAAAUCCUGACUCUAAUUUUCAAAAUUACUGCAAACAAGUCCUACACUGAUGUAAAAAUAAUGUGACAUCUUAGUUGCUAGUACAUCACCAAUCAUGUCAUUGCUAUACCACUUCUACGUUAGCGAUGUGUAAAUAUUUAGGUAACUAAAUUGAAUUGCAACAAUUCUAAUAAUUUGAAUUUAAAAUUAUAAUAAAUUAAAAUUUGAGAAUCAAAAUAUUCCAGUCCUAUAGUUUGAGGACCAAACAUGCAAUGUACCCAGAAAAUGAUAAUAAUUUUUUCGGUAAAAUCCAUGCAGUACUUUCAUGCUAUGGUAGAAGGGGAAAUGUUGGUAAAACAGUUCCAAAAGUAGUAACAACUUUUCAAUAAAAUCAUUCUAAUCUCAUGCUCUAUGAGAACAUUGCUAUCGAACGACAAACAAACUUUACCGGAAUUAUACUAAUAAAAGACAAAGGAAGAUUUAAAAUUGAGGAGGCUUCAAAUCGGAAGAUCUAUCUGAUAACAAAACUGUAUUGGAAUUAUACUAAUAAAAGACAAAGAAAUUAAGAUUUAAAAUUGAUGUUACGACAAGCGUAGAAAACGAAAACGAAAACGAAAAUGGUGAAUACAAAAUAGUUAAACCACAAGCAGAAAUAAAAAAGAACACACAGAUUUACGUGAAAAAUUCUUUGUAGGGAAAAACCACAGGCGAGAGAGGAGAGAACUUCACUACCGAAAAGAGAAUACAAUGUUUGAAAUACAACCAACCACAAUCUAUCGGCCUGAGCCCUCCGCUAUCCACCAUAGACAUUCAUUUUUUCUUCAUAAUUUUAUUUUCCAAUUUAGUUGCACCGCGAAACUGUCGGCGAGUCGAAAUCUUGAACUGAAGUCGGUUAUCAAUUUCGAGUCACAUCUAACAAUUGAGGAGGCUUCAAAUCGAAAGAUCUAUCUGAUAGAAAACUGGUUUAGAAAUAGUAUUAGUAAUAACUAGAAUAUUUAAAGGCUAAAUUAUAUAAAAUCCUCAUGUCAAAACCCGAUUUUUCACUUUCUCCCCUGUCAUUUAAAAACCUACACUUUGCCCUCUUGUAAAAUGAAAAUGUUCACGGGGAGUACGGUGUGAACUGUGAUGGCAAAAUGACCAUUUUGCCAUCACCAUUUUCGUCUUCUCCCUCAUCUUGCUUAUCCGCCGUCACGAUCGACCGCGGUUCGCACCUCGAUCGGCCGCAGUUUCUCUUAAUUUUCUUCUCCACCUGCUCCCCUUCUCCUUCUGCACCCUCGUCGCCCCUUCAUUUCAGCGAUAGUAGGGAAGAAAUCGAGGUGGGCGGGAAUGGAUAGGUGGGCAAAGGCAACGAGGGCAAAGGUGAGGCGGCGGAGGAGGACGAGGGGGUGUUUGUGGGCGCAGACGGAGAUGUGGGCGAGGGCGAGGCAGUGGAGGAGGGCGAGGCGGAGGAGGGGCGAAGCAACAGUAGAGAGGGCGGAGGAUAUUUUUGGCAUAAAAAAAUAUUUUAUAAUGAAACCCUAACGGAUUACUAACAGUAGGAAGUGAAGUGAACAUUUUUUAUUUUACAAGGGGGCGAGUGUAGGAUUUUAAAUGACAGGGAGGAAAGUGAAAAAUCGGAUUUUGACAGGAGAGUUUUCUGUAAUUUAGCCAUAUUUAAAUGAAUAUUCUAUUUUUUGACUUAGCUCAAAACCUGUUUCGCCUUAACAUCACAUAAGAAAAAAUUCAUAUUUUGUAAUUCGCAAAACAUCAGAUUAUUACUUUAUUCUUUAGAUGAGAGAGGCUGUUCCAAAGUUACCCUCUUUUACACUCUCAACAUUGUAAGAAAGCUAAAUAAAAGAUUGGGUAAACUAUACUUCAUCCUCAAACUGUAAGGCGUGUGGCACUUUAAUUCUCAAGUCUUAAUUCAUUGUUAUUUCUGACUCGUAAUUGUUAGCUUUAAUGGUUCAACAUGUCCUAUGGCGGAAGGCCAAGUUGGACUGAGUCAGGUUCGCAAUGGCAUGAGGCUGGGUUGGCCGAGCCAUGUUCGCAGUGGCGUGAGGUUGGUAGGGCUGAGUCGCAAUCGAGACCCCUGAGCGUUGUGUCUGUAUGCUUUAAAUAACUGGUUGUGCAUUUCUAACAGGUCGAGCUUUUGGGAUUAAUAAUUAGCGCUAACGAUCCGACAAGUUGUAUCAGAGCCAGAGGUUACAGGUUUGAUCACGCAUGCCACGAAUUUGUGCAGGUGCUAAAAGGAGGAUUGUUGACUAAAAUGGGUCAGCAUUCUGCCCUGUGGCGGAAGGCUAGCGUAGGUUGAGUCACGUUUGAAAUAGCAUGAGGCUGGGUUUGGCCGAACCAUGUUCAAAAUGGCAUGAGGCUGGUUAGGCCGAAUUACAAUCGAAACCCGUGAGCGCUAUAUUUAUACGCUUUAAGUGAAUUUCUUACAUAUUUCUAAUAUCGUGAGUUUUGCUAGAAUAUUAUCAGUAGUAAACGAGCCGUUUUACUACAAUUUGUUUUCGAUGAUAGAACUUCCAAAUUGACGAUCGGCUCCAUUGAAUAUGAUCUAUACCACUUGAAGUGUUUAGAAAUCAAAUUUCAAAUCUUUUCGACAUCAUUUGCCUAAUGAUCAGAGGGUUUCAAAAUUUAUAAUUUUAAUGGUCGAUAAGAAGCGUUUUCUCGUUUAACGGCGUAAAGAUAUCCAAAUCAAUUGAAUUUUUAUUAGAAAAUUCUUUAAACUUUUUAAAACAAGAUCUAUACUCUUGAUCUUGAUUACAAGACUCCUAUCAUCAUUUUUUAAAGAAUAUUCAUUUUCAGCCAUUCAUUUUUUUUUCACUAGAUGGAUAAAAGAACAAUAUCGAAAGUGCGUGAAAUUUGAUUUCUAGGUAGUUUAAAUGGUUUAGAUCAUAUUUAACGGAGCCGAUCGUCAAUUUGGAAGCUCUAUCAUCGAAAACAAAUCGGUAGUAAAACGGCUCGUUUACUAACGAUAGUAUUCUAGCUCAACUCCUAAUAUCGUUUUGUAUUUCUAACAGCUCGAACUUUUAAGAUUAAUGGUUAGCGCUAACAAUCUGACAGUGCCUUCUUAAUUGUCGCAAUUAAGUCUCAAAAUUCAAUUUAGCUGACUAAAUAAUAGUAAAUUAUUGAUGAAAAACUGAUGAAAAUAUUGUGAUUAAUGAUGCGAUAAUGAUUAAAACACAUUACGUAACUUCCAUAUCAACAAUUUUGUCAAUAUUUAAUUUUUUUAUAAUAAUAAAAAAAUUAAACUAAAAAUUAUUAUAAAUUAAAAUUUGAGGAUCAAAAUAUCACACAACUCAGAAUUUGACGGCGGAAAGUGUAAUUUGGCUUAAAAGAUUCUAUUAUUUUUUUUGUGUGGAUGGAAACUAAAGAGCAACUGUUCCUAUCUUCUUAUGUUGUGCUCGAUGAAAGCUAAAGACUACCUACGUGUAUCUUCUUCUGGAUUUGUGCCUGGUGAAUGAUUCAGACAUCAUAAGAUACUGGAUGUUGACAUGGGACACACAUAAGCAUCCACUGUCCUAGGAAGCAUCUCAAACCAAAGAUCAAUGGGACUCUAACAAAUAAGUACUUUCUCAUAAAGAGAAUAUAACCAAAAUGUAGAUAACAAGGAAUAUAUAUAUAGAAUUAUACGAUUGUACUAUCGAUAGCACCAAGUGCUUGGUAUUAUUAGAUUUUCGGUCUUUAGAUGAAAGAAGGUGCAGUAAGAUAAUAGUAGUCUCAUCGGAUUGAAUGGAUGCAUGGUUGAAUAUGUAGUAUGAUCUAACGAAUGAAAAUGGUCAAAGAGGUAGAUCUAACGACAAGAACUCGAUAGCACCAAGUGUUUGAUACUAUCGAUAGUAUAGUAGCGAUAGUAGUUGGACUCUAUAUAUAUAACACUGUUAUCCAUCAAACGAUCUGAUAUAAGGACGACUUACGACAUAGGACUAUUUAGAGGCAAAGGAGCUUAGGAGAUCCUUUGGUAUCAUUUGUGCGAUCACUAAUAAUCUAAAACGUAACAUUUUUAUAAUUUGAAAUAGUCUUAUAUAUAAAAUAUAUUAGAGUUAAAAUUUUUAGUCUGGCUAUAAUAUUUUGAGUGAUGACUAGAUCCAAGAGGUUAAAACAGUUGAACCAACUUAGAGUUAGAAUAUUUCUAGAAUAGAUGACCCUCUGAAAAGUGGGGCAUUACAGUCAGUAUUAAUUAAAGCCAAUCUCCCGCUAAAAUAUAAGAUGAGACUCGACUGAGCCAAAGUCAUAAAGUGGGAUAAAGUACAGAGUGGAGUGCAAUUUCCUAUAAGAUCGGCUAAACUAGUGAGAUGGGUGUCACAUUGACUGAUAUUUGUAAGUGUGCUUGAGGGUAACAAGGAUAUUAGGACUUAAAAGAGGCCGAAGGGGUUUGGGAGGGUUGUUGGUUGGGGGGGGGGUUAUGUGACAUCCUUUUGGAAUAAUUCAAUAUGUAAUAUAUAAUAAGUCUAGCUAAUCUUUUAAUUUGACUAUAAUUUUCUAGGUGAUGGCUAGCUCCAAAAUAUUAAAAGGGUUGAGUGAGUUUAGGACUUACGUAGUUCUAGAUAGAAUGGAACCCUUCCUGAAAGUGGGGCGUCACACCAAAUGUUAAUAAGAUGCAACUAGCACCCAAAAAUAGAUAAUCAGAACUCAAAUUUAUAGUGUUUGGUCUGCAGAACAUGUCUAAAUAAGCUGUUACAAUGUUUGAAUGAGAACCAUACAUGUAAAAAUAGAAAUAAUAGAAAAAGAGAAAAAGUUGGAUAUGGUUUGCACUAAGAUAUAUAAAAUGUGGAUCAUGUUUGCAUCAUCAAGAUUUGGAACAAAUUAGUUGGCUAUAUCAGUCAUCAUGAUGUUACAAAAAAACAAGAGGAAAAAAAAAUAGAAAACGUUGUUGAUAUUUGACUACAUGUCUGAUUAAAAUUGUACAGUAUAUACCAACCGUCCCUAGCACAAGUGGCAAAGGGUUUGAUGGUUGGUAUAUUCGAAAUUCCAAGUUCGAAUCCUAAUUAAUUCACAUAUUUAUUUAAAUUUAUUUCUAAAUAAAAUAAACGAAAGGAGUAGCAUGCUAGCUUAUCUUUCAAAAAAAAAAUUGUUUUGUACAUCAAUAACUUUAGCUUUUAAUCAACACAGAUUAAAAGAUUGGAGAACAGUAGAGCUAGUUGUUCUUUUAUUUAUUAUUAGUGAAAUAUCCGCGCGAUACUGUAGUGUUCCUGAGCUUUGGAUAGGAUUGGCUUCAGUAUUAGUGACUGGUCGACAUCUCUGGAGAGUGUCGGACUGAGUCGGAGUCAAUUCUGCACGAAUUGGAUGCAGAAUUGGACUCGACGCACUCAAAUAAGCAAAACUGAAGUUUUGCCAGAUUCGGGCGCCCAGAACAUUUUUAGGGUCGCCCAGAAACGAGUGUUGAAUUUAACUGAAACUGGAAGUCAAUUCGGAUCCCAAGUUCCGGGCGCCCAGAAGUGGGUCCGGAAAUUCGACAUUGUGAAUAUCGCUUGCUUCGACGCGUGGCAGGGCGGUAGGUGAGUUCCGCCGGAGCCAUUUACGGGCGCAGCGCACCGCGAGCGGAGAGUCCGAGGAGCCCGUUUUGUGCAGGCUGGAUGUUCUGGUCGCCCAGAACAUGGUUCCGGGCGCCCAGAAACGCCCGUUUCUGCAGGGGCACUGGAUUGCGGCUAUUUUUCCUGGGGCUUAUCUGAUCUAUCCAGCAGCCUAUAAAUAGCUGAGAAGCGCCCCCUUUGAGCUCUUUUACCUGUUCUUCACAGAGGACUUAGAUUUUACUCCCAAAUCCCUCAAAUCUUUCCAAUUUGCAUCAAGAUCCACCUCUCCAAGAAUUGCAAGGUGCUGAUUUUGCAGUUCUUCAGCGACGACCUCCAGUGUUUUGGCUCGUGCGCGACGUAGGAAGGUCGGAUUUCGACGAAACUUGGUUUGCUGGAUUCUAGACUUCCAGAGGAAUCCACGAAGCCCUGAAUUGCAGAUUUUGGUUGAGGUUAGCUUGGUCGAAUUGAGGUUUUUCUGGACUGCUGUUGGCUUUGAGCUGAAAAUGGGAUUUUUGAGUUUUUCUUGAUGCUAACUUUGUAGGCAGUGGGAUUUUAGACCUGAGAUUGAUCACCCCUCAGUAUUUGCUGGAUUUGAAACUGUCCUCACCUGAUUUGGAGAUCAUUAGGUGAGUUUUGACAUUGGAGUUGAGAUGAAUUAGCUUAAGUGCUGAAAUUUUGGCUAUUUGAUGAUUUUUAUUGGAUUUUUGGGUGAAUUGUAAAUCCAGAUCUUAAGGGGCUUUGUUGCUGGUUUGGAGGGGUUUCCAGCAGUGUUGCUUGAAGAUCCGAGACCCUCUUGCUGCCAGGAAUUGCAUUAGAGGUGGGUGUAUCAUCGGUUUCGCUCCUAAGUGCAUGUUUAGUCGACGUGUAUAGUUCGAUUUUUGUAUAUCAUGCUUUAAUUCAUCGAUUAGCAUUUUGGAUGUAAUAUGAAUAUAAAAGCAUGCUGAAAUGAAUGUUUAUAUUAUACAUGUUGGACUUGAAAUUUGACUUAGGAGAAAACCUGCGUUUUGACCCGUCAUAUGCUUAAACUACCAGAUUUAGCUCUAGGAGCCGUGAUUCGAUUGUAUCGUUGCAGUAUCAGUGCGAUGGAUACCUGGGGUAGUUUAGAAGGCAUUUACGCUCGUGCUGGGGUGCCGAGCUUAUUUUUCAGCAGAGUUUAGGCUGUUUCGGGUCGUUGGGUGCCGUUCGGGUUAGCGGUGGACCCAGAUUCUUGUUUUGGUCACAGAUUGUGCCGAGGGCACGUGGGUUUGGUUUGUAGACCUGUUUUGACCCUGUUCACUUGACUUUGGCUAGUUGGAGCCUGAUUGAGCUCGACAGAGAUACGCUGCAUACUCGGUUGGGUAGCGCCCACGAGUGCGACUCCGGAGUCAGGCUUUGUGCUUUCGCGUUGGGGUCGCUCAUGCCAGUUGGACUUGCUCUCCACGGACCGGUUAGUGUGGAUAGAGCCCGAUAGUCGCAACGGGGCAGGGACGGGUGUAUUCACAGUCCCGGGGAUGGGUAUGCUUACAGUCCCGAUUGGAUUGGGUCAGGUUGGACAUUUUCUACAGUUGGUUAGUGUAGAGCAUAAUAGUGUAGUGUUUGAUAGCGGUAAACUUUAUUCUUGCAUUUUACUACUAUUCUUGCUCCCUUCUGUAGACUUAGUGGGUGGACCGAUAUUGUUUUGGACGGUACCUACUGAGGACUACUUGUUUUUACAGUAGUUCUCACGCCCAGUUGUUACCUAUGUUUUUGCAGAGCCACAGGUUCUGGUUGCUGCGCCUUCCGCGGAUCAGGAUCGAGGCAAGGGCGUCGCGAGUUAGAGCCCUACCCGACGUGCUGAGCUAGAGGUGCCCCUACUGCAGGUAGAUGUUUUGUUUCGAGUUUAUGUACAUAGUGGAUUUAACUCGCCAGUGCGAGUAGUUUUGUAUUUUGGAUUUGGACUAUGUAUAUGAAACUCAGUUUGUUUAGCUUCUGUUUUCUCUAGCAGCUCUCUACUACUGUUCGUAGUAGUGUUUGAUUUAUAGGUACAGUUAUCGCUUCGUAUACAGGGAAAAUUUCUUUGUAUACGGCGGAUUUGUCGGCGCGCCCGGGGAAAGUGUAAUCCGGCGGGGACAGAUAUACGGAUAUAAAAAAUAUUUUUAUAAUAAUUUUAUUUUUUAAUAUGUUUAUAUAGUUUUAUAAGUCUAAUUAUUAAUUAAAUAAAAGUUAUAAAAAAAUAUUAAUCGUUAAAUCUAUUUAAAUAAAAGUCAUUAAAAUCGGUAUAUGCCCAAAGUAAAUUUAUACAACAAUUUAUUUUAUAAUAUUUAUAUGAAAAUAAUUGAGAUAAAUCUAUCAAAAUAAUUUUAAAAAAUUAAUAAAUAGAAGAAAAUAAAAUUGUAAAAGAAUUGUUUAAUAACAUUAAUAUAUAUCUAUACACAGAAAUACACUAUAUUUCUAAAUUUUACUCCUAAAUUUAAAUGCUCUAUUUUUUUUUAUAUAGCGAUAUUUUUACGUGAUUUAAAUUAUAUCUAUUAGGUUAGAUUUUAUUACGCCAAUUUAUUAUGCGUAUUAUUAAUAAAAUUUAAUAACUAUAUUAUAUAUAAUGAAUUAUUAAUAAAAUUAAUUAAUUAAUUUCACAUAGUUUAGAGAUUUAAAAUUUAAAAUUUUAAAAUUUAAAAUUUGAAAAUAAAUAUUAUAAAUUAAAUUUAAAUUUUAAAAUUUAAAAUUUAAAAUUUGAAAUUUUAAAAGUUUCAAAAUUUUAAAUUUUGAUAUCAAAUAUAUAUAUAUAUUAAUUAUUAUAAUAAUAUAUAGAGGGAGAGAGAGUAAAGGGGGGUUUGGGAGGACACGUGUCACCUUUGGUCCCCAAACCCUUCUUUAAUGUAGAGAAAUAGAAAAUAGAUUUAAAUAGCAACUAGUAUACAAAAAAUCAAAGGAAAAUGCGCAAUCGAGCUCAAUGCAAGUAGCACUCCAGAGUGUACCAGAUAUGAUGGAAGAAAUCAAGAGAUUAAGUAAAAAAAAAUGUCAAGUACAUAGAAAUGCUUUGGGUGCCCCAUUUUUGAAAAUCCUAUAAUAUUUUUGUUAAAUAUGUUUCGAAUUCUAAUACCGCAAAGUUUUCUAAUUUUAUUCUGUUUUGAUUAUGCCUAAUUUUAUUAAAAUAUUUAUAAUUUUAGUGGGUUUGUAUUCCUAGUUAUAUCAGGAUUUAAUUAGCCACUAUUAUAAAUAUACCCUUUAUUCUAUUGAUUUAGUGCGAAAAAUGAGAAAGAGAAUAUAGGUGUAUUUUUGGGAUUAGGGUUUUGUGAGAGAGACAUAUUUUGUAUACCACUUUGAUUAUAAUGAAGAUCUCCGCUCCGUUUUCGCUCGUGUACGUAGGUCGAUGGCCGAACUACGUAAAUAUUGUGUGCUUUAUUUUGCUUCUCUCUUUCUCGAAUCUCUUUUUGUAUUUUCGCACCCGACGAACUAGAUCUUUUCGGUUUUAGUUCCAACAAUUAUUGAUGGAUUGGCAUAUACAUAUGGAGAGAUUAUGAUUUAGGAUUUAGAAUCUAAUAAUGACGAUGCUUGAGAUUUAAUAAUGAUGUUUGAAAUUUAGUAAAUAUUAUUUAGGGUAUAAUAAUGAUAUUGUCGUGUCAUUAAAAAUUUUAUAAGGAACACUUAGGGGUGGCCAAACAGAAUUAAUUCAAACAGAAUUAAUUAGUGAAAUUAUGGCUUAGUUCGAUUCAGUUUUGUAGUGUUUCUGGUAAUCCAAACAGAAUUAAUUCGCUAACGUAAAAAUCCAAAAGAUAGUCAAAUCAAAAUAAUUUGACUUCGUUCGGUUAAUUUUAUUCAGUUUGAGUGUUUAUUAAACCCCGUCUUGGCUUAUCCGAAACAAUUAUUAUCCAAAACAUAACAUGUAUCAUGUUCUUUUUAUUUAGGAGAAUUCAUCAUUUAUUAUAUCAUCAUUAAAUUCAGUAUUUUUUUUUUAUCAAUUAGUUUCAUUAUAUCAAUAUACGUAAUUAAACCGAAUUACUAAUUAAACUAAAUAAAUUAACAUAAUUCUGUUCAUCACAGUAUUGUACAUAAUAACGAGAAAUGCUACCGGUGUACUUCAAAGGGCGAAAAAUAGGUCCAUAUCUUGUCAUUUUUUUUUUGUUUAUAUAAGUACAAAAAAUUUAAAGGUUUUUAUGAACCUUUGAAUGAAUAAGUGUAAAUCAAACACUUCUUGUGGAUAAAUAGCAUUUUUACACAUCUUAAUAUAAGAAUGCUUUGCCGGAGAAUCUUUGCUUUCUUCAACGUGAUAAGUGGCAUCUUUGCCUUUUUCAUUUUUUUAAAAAAAUAUAAAUAUGUUGGCAAAUUUUUUUGUUUUUAUCAUAUUAGGAAAAAAAAAAGAGAUUAAAUCCACGACCUUACAGAAUAAGAGGAUUUAGUAUUACUCAAAAUAUUGAUCUAAUAAGAAAUAUAUAUUAAUAAUAUAUAACUAGGUUUUAAUAGAAAAAAGGCUGAAUGUGAAAAGACAUUUCAAAAAAAAAAAAAAAAUUAAAAAAAGUAUGAUCAAUAAAAAGCUUUAAAAUAAGGUUUUUUUUUUCUUUUUUGUUGCUACCAAACAAAUUGGUAGAUUUAUGCAUAUACUGCAAGAAUCUAUUGUCAUUUGCAAUUCAAAUAAAUAUUUUAAUUAAAAAAAAUUAAUGAAACAACAACAAGUAUCAAACAGUAAGGUCAAAUUAAUUUCAACAAUGUAAUUAUAAAUACCCACAAUUUACUCUCUCUCUCUCUUACCUAAGCACCAAAGGAUACAUAGGAUAGACUAAUCCAGUAAUCUAGUGGGUAAAACCACCGNCAAUUGACUACUGGACUAAACCCCUAACUAGUUACCGAAAAAAAAUUAUGUGCAACCUGUAUGAUAACCAGAUGCAAGACGUCCCCGCGGAGUCCUACGGCGAUGGCUCCGACCGUGGCGGUCGCAGGUCCCACGAUAAACCGCAAAGCCAUUCCGACGACCGCCAAUCUCGGCCCGCACGCGAUCAACUUCUCUUGCAGUGCCAUGAAUUGUCCUAGACACCAGGACGAUGUCAAAAUUCUUGCAUGCUUCGCAAUACAAACUUUAGUCGAAAAUUUCAUUCUUAUUAAUUUAGAGGGAUAUAUAAAACUCGAUCUGCCUACCCAUGUUAAACAUAGCCAUUCCGGCACCGCCCCUCGACAUGAUCUGCACUGAUCCUUCGAUUACGCUCGGCAUCUCAAUGUGCCAUCUACAAACUCACGAAGAAGAUAAAUAUUUGAAUGUGUGCAAAUACUGAUGCUUAUUGUGCAAAAUGAAAAACAUAUAUAAAUUGGUUUUAUGGAGUUGAAAAAUUAACCAUCUGUUUAAGUUCUUUUUUUUAAAACAAAAAAAAAAAAAAAAAAAAAAAAAAAACCCUACCUAAUCCAAAUCCCUUUCACAAGAGAAAUUAUUACCUGCACACACUACAUAUCAAAUGCCCUACAGUAUCAUAGAGAUCACAAAUUAUCAUUUAAAAGACCCAUACAUCAAAAUUCAUAAAUUUUGAACUUCACUUUUUUUUAUGUAAAUUGAACAAUAGUCAUUUCUGUAGUUCUAAUUUUCAAAGUUACGUAAAAAUUUAUAGUUUUCUUUUUUAUACGUAGACUUUUUAAAUAUUACAAAUUAUAUUUAUUAUUAGAUUAGAUUUGAUUUGAAUAAUGCACGAGACGUACAGAUACGCGCACAAUAAUUUCUCCCAUUAAAAAAUGGGGCUGAUGCUCCUUGAGCAGUCAGCACCAGAGAAAUAAACAAACUCAGGUGGCGCUUCCCCCACGCCUCAGUUGGCUGGCACGGCCCCCCAUCUCCAGCCCGCAUAAAUUCCCAAGAAUCAACCCCCACAAAACCAUCUUCCCAUUCCCUGUCCCCUCCCUCAUCCUCACUCCACCCCUUCACAAUAUUUUUUUUUUUCUUUUUUAAUCCACUAUCUCUUCAAUCCCUCUCCCCCAUUUCUUGUUAAUUUUAUCAAAUAUUAAAAACCGUUCUCUGCAAGCUUAAGCUUAUGUUUGGCUUAAAUGCCAGAGUAAGAUUUUCAAUUAUAAAUAACUUACUCGAUGCAAAAAAUUUUGUGUGAUCCAGACGUUUGAUUUUGUAUGAAAGAGCAAUAUAUUUUAUUUAAAAGAUAAUUUAUCUUUAUCCUAAAAUAAUAAUUUAAAAUUUAAAUACAGUAUUUAUUUUAAAUAUCUGAUCACGCUUCUUAUCCACCAAACAAUGCUUAAUUUUGAGUAAAUUGAAAAGAUUUACCUAGUAAAUAUUAAUAUUGACAUGGUAUACUAGGGCCGAGGAUUUUGAGUUUCAAUCCGAUUAGACUUUUAUUCGAAUUGAUUUUUUUUUCUACUUAAGUAUUGCUGAGUGUCGAAAAUGUCUCGAAUUUAGAAGUGAGAAGAUAGAAUACAUGCAUUGAGUAGCAUGUUAUGUAGCACCACUAUCCUCUAGUUUAUUCCAACUUCCUCUCCCCCACACCAACCCCACUUGAUCGUUUUCCUAAGCUAGGCCUCCAUUGACCAACACCCACACUUUCUCUCUCUCUCUCUCUCUCUCUCUCUCUCUCUCUCUCUCUCUCUCUCUCUCUCUCUAUUGCUGCAUACGAAGAAGGAGGCCAGGAGAUGAAGAUACAGUGCGACGUGUGCGGCGGCGCGUCGGCGACGGUGUUCUGCUGCGCGGACGAGGCCGCGCUGUGCGACGGGUGCGACCGGAGGGUCCACCACGCGAACAAGCUCGCGGGGAAGCACCGCAGAUUCUCGCUGAUCGACUCUCCGUCGUCUUCGCCUCCGCCACCGUCCGGCAAAGCCGACCCGCUCUGCGACGUGUGCAAGGUGAGCGGGGGGAGGCUCUCUUUCGCUGUUCGCGCCUUUCUUUUCAGAUCGACCGGAAUGCAAUUCAGUUAGUUUGCUUUCGCAGGAGCGGCGCGGCUUCGUGUUCUGCCAGGAGGACCGGGCAAUCCUGUGCCGCGACUGUGACGAUCCAAUACACAGCGCGAACGAUCUCACGAUGAGGCACAACCGGUUCCUGCUCACCGGAGUCCGGCUCUCUACGGCUCCGAUUACUCCCUCCCCUUCUUCGUCUUCGCCAGAGUCUAAUUCUAGAUCUCCGGGAGACGAGAAGGUUGUUGGUAAUACAAAUAGUAAAAAUAGCACUGCUAAUGCUAAGCAAGAUAAGAAUUUGGCCGCAGAGGGGAGCAGCAUCUCGGAGUACCUCACUAAGGUUUGCCCUGGCUGGCACGUCGAGGACCUUCUGAUCGAUGGCGACGAUAUUGUCGUCGGUGGCUUCUCGAAGGUACAUCACUUUAAAACCGAAUCACUCUUCAGAAGUUUGUGCCUGUUUGGCCUGGCUUUUUCUGUAUGCUACAUAUCUUGGUUGGCACGGCUGACAACCAUAAGCUUUGACAAUACAAGAUUGCUUCCGCUUUCAGAUCUUUCUACCACGAGUGCGGUGCAACAACUCUAGCCAUAAAAGCUAGACCAAACAGACUCUAAAUUCGAUUGGAAUUGUACUGCAAAACUGAUCGCCUUGUCGGUGCAGGAGAAAGAGCUAACGGCUUUCCAGCGGGCGGAUCCGGACGGCAGCAGCGGCAGCCUGAACUCGGCGGGGGCGACGGAGUUCCCCAAGUGGGCCCCACUGGUACCCCAGCUCCCGCCGCUUCCAUCGGAAAUUCCCGCCAUACGAAACGGCAGCGCCGGUACCGUCACGGUAUCUUCGCAGUGGACGGGCCCCAAGGAGCUGAGCCCAAGCUACGACAUCGGGGAGAGAGUCGGGCGCGAGCGGUGGAGUGUCGACGACGCCGUGACGGUGCCUCAGAUCUCCCUGGCUCCUUCCAGCAAGAGAACAAGAACACCUGUUUGGUACUACUGAGCUAGUUAAUUACAUGUUCUUUUCUAUGUCAAUUAAGAAGCUUUUACAUAUAUAUUGCAGUGUAUGGUUUUGCAACUGAUGAUUGGUGAGAGUGUUUUGGUUUCCACCUUUUCCACUGUAUAAACCCGGAGCCUCUUUUCCCUAAUAAGCUAAUGAACCUUUGUUCCCCGGUUUGUGUUCUAUAAAUAUUAUCUACCUUAAACUUGAAAUGAGAUCUAGGAGAUUUGCAUAACAAGGAGAGAAUAGAGAGGAUUUUUUUUUCUUUUUUUUUUGAAAAAAAAAUCACAUUUGACGAAAUUCUUGAUGAUUAAGGUCAAAGGGGUUCCCUCCAUUAUCUUGAUUAUUUUUGAAAAAUUAUGAUCUCUAAUAAAAGAAUCAAAGAUCUAUCUAUGGAAAAGAACCAAUGUUGAACUCCAUUUGGUACUGCUGCUGUUUUUUUUGUUACUGAAGUUUAAAAUUAUAUUUAUUUGGAGUAACAAUAACAAGUGAGUGAAAGUUCGUCCCAACACGUUGGAGUGUACACAGAAUUUAAAUUUUUUUUAAAAUAUGAGCGGUACCAAACGAGAUCUAAACUUCUGAACUUAUUAGAGUCUCCAAUACUUGCAUUUUGGAGAUGGAGAAAAUAAAAAAUGUAAAGAGAGUUGUAGAACUUUAGAAGUGAGUAGCAAUUAAACAAAUUGUGAUUAAGAUGUUUCUCUUCCCCUUUCAACACCCAAUUUAUUGAUUUCCCCCUUGUUGUAAUAGGACUGUCAUAUCACUAUUCCCUGGUACUAGUUUUUUACUUUAAAAAAGCACCAAACUUAUUAUAGGAUUAGUACCAUUGAUGAUACCAUCCUAUACAUAUUUACCCAACGAAAAAGUGAUCGGGCACCAACCGUCGCUAGAGCAAAUGGCAAAGGACUUGGUGAUUGGUACCUGAGACUCAAGUUCGAAUUCUAGUUGAUUCACAUUUCCAGCUAAAUUUAUUUAUAAAUGAAAUAAACAAAGCGGGCAGCAUGCUACCUAUCUCUCUCUCUCAAAAAAAAAAAAAGUGAUCUGGCAUAUCUCAAACUAACUUUUUUUUAUUUUAUUUUUUAUGCAAUUCAUUAAUUUUUUUUUUAAAAAAAAAGAAUAUAACCAUAUCUUGUAACCCAACAAGGCAAUAAGAAUUAAUGCAUCAUUUGUUUUGUAAUUGAACCAGUGCAAAGCUCCAAAUUGGAGUUUCUUGAUUUUUUUUAAGAUAAAAAAUAUACAUAACUUAUCUGAACUAAAAUUUUAAUCUUACUACACAAUCUGUUAAUUUAUUUGAUUUGACUUUAAAAUUUAAGCUACCUGCUUAAUCUACUGAAGCGUACUAAUUAAACCUGUAGAAAUAAACAACGCAUUUAAAUUUUUGAGUUAAAAAUAUAGUUGAUCGACUAAAAUCAAACAAAUUGUACGUCUGGAUAGUAAAAUCAAAAUUUUUAAAGAUCACAUAGAAUGACCCAUAGUUUCUAAUCUUUUUCUGAAAGUAAUUAAUCUUCAUAGUUGGAUGAUUUUUUUCUUAGAUUUUCCUACACACAUACACCAUUUUCUCCUCCCUCUCACUACAAAUCUCCUCCUUUUUCAGCAGAUAAUCCACCUCCAUCAGAACUAGGCUUUGGAACAUCACCAAUCAUCUUCCCUUGUCAAUGGCCCCUGUUGACAUGUCCUCAACUUUGCUUGCAUUGACAACCUGUGGGCCAUCAAAAUUAAAGUGUUCUCUCCCACAAGGUACCUCCCCAGACCCUAGAAAAUUGCCCACAUACUCUUGUUUUAUUUUUUUUUCUUUUCUUUUCUUUGCUUUUCACAUUAUUGGAUUCUUGGGAUCAAGAUAAUGCACCAACCAAUAAUAAGAAGACAACACAAACAAUGGUCCCCCAUCCUUUUUUUUUUAAAAAAAAAAGAUGUUCUAGACAGAUCCAAUGCUUUGUCAAUUGAUUUUAAAUAUUUUGCAAUUGAAUUAGGACUACAAACUGUUAAAAGAUUCAAUAAAUAAAUUUUAUUUUUAUAAAGUAUUUAGUUUUCUGUAUUGAAACUUCUACGACAGUAAAAAGCAGAAACAUUAUUUUGAAACUAGAAUUAGAAUCUUUAAUUUGAGGCUUCUAUUUGCGCUUUGAGCUAUCAUUCGCUAGUAGUUUUCUCUGACUAAUAAUACCUAUGAUUCUAUAUGUAAGCAAAUUUUUGUACAUGAUAAGUUACUAAAAAUAUUUUAGUAUCACUUUUCAAACGGCACUUUGUUAAAGAGCAUCACGCAAAUACCAUUCAUUUGGCACAUUUGAAGGAUACAUAAUUGAGUCUCCACCUAAACCUGAGCAAAAAAACAUAACAAAGGUUUAUUCCCCUGCAAUUGGACUCGACAAACCACAAACAAUCCAACUCUUCUUCUAACAAUAGAGAAUAAAUUAAAACCUUCAAUUAAACCAAAUUGAUCAACAAAAAAAAAAGAAAAAAGAAUAAGACCUUGUUUACAUAUGAUCCGAUUAAAUUACUCAAUAAUAACUCAAUUCAGCAUAUAUUUAUUUUUUUUACAUGAUAAAAAGCAAAAGUUUGAUUUUUUUUCAUUCUUUGAAAGAUCUUGAAAACCAUUAUUUGUUAGAAUAACAUACUUUAUCUGAAAAAAUAAUUAAAAAGUUGAGUAUAUAUAAUAUUUUUCAUCAUAAUUAUCAUCUAUGUAUCCAAUCUGGGAUCAAAUUAAUUCAACUUAUGACGAGUGCAUAAGCAGAAACUAUAAAAGACGAUUGCAAAGCAGACAAAUCAUAAAAAAAUAAUAAAACAAAAUAGAAUACAAGGAUUUACGUAGAAAAAUUUUGUACAGAAAAAAGAAAAUUCAUGGGCGAAUGAAGAGAUCACUUCACUAUGAAAAAGUGAGUACAAAACUUUGUGUGUACAAUAAGAUGUAUGAGUCUAGAGCGAAAAAAAAAAAAAAGAAGAAGAAGAAAUUUCUAAACAGAUUUCUUUACAGGCUAAAACUAGUCACCCAUUUUUUCCUUUAUAAAUAUUUUUUUUAAAUUUAUCGCACAGCAAAACUAUCGCCAAAACCAAAACACAAAAUUGAAUUUGAUAACAAAGAUUUUGCAACGCAUCUAUGACUUAGUUUAGUAUUGAGAUCUACCUACUGCUAUUAGAUAGAAUGAAAUAAAAUAAAAAUAUAUAGGAAUAUACUUCUGUGUUCUAUGAUGAAACUGUAAAAAAUAUAUCGUAACCAACAUAUUAUUUAUGAAUAAAUAGAGUAUUUUUUUACGUACGAAACCUAACACCUCUAUCCAAAUUGAAGGGAUAAAAGCACAUAUUAUCAUCAUCGUUAAUUAAUUAAUUAUCUUUUGCGUUAGAGGCCGCGGAGGAGGAGAGGCUCUUUUGGUAGGCGUCGAGCUCCUCGUAGUAGACGUCCCAAACGCAGCGCACGCACCCGCUGCCGCAGCAGUCCCCCGGAAGCGGCUUCUCCGGGGCCUGCAGCUGCUUCUGCUUCUGCUUCUGCGUCUGCGGCGAUUGCGAUUGCGAUUGCGAUUGCGAUUCCUCCGACGCGGGGGCUUUUCCCUUCUCUUUCUCCUCCCCCGCCACCUCUUCGUUUCUGUUGAGGGAUCCCAUGAUCGGCGAAGCCGUGGCGGCGGAGAGGAGACACCGAUGGAAUGCACGGCGGCGGCGGCGGAGAGGGAGAACGAAAGGGAGGCGGACGCCGGCGACGGCGACGACGACGCCGGAGACGAUCUCGCGGCGGAUUGGGGCGGCGGCGGCGCACCAACGCGGGAAGAUGGCUCGCAUAAAGGGGGAGGAGCAGGAGAGGAGAGAGAUCGAGGGAGGUCGUCGUCGUCGUCGCGGAUUGGCUUCUUUUUUUUUUCUUUUUUCUUUUUUUUUUCCUAUCUCAAAUCUCAAUGAGUGAAUGAAUAGAUGAAAAUUGAGACUUUAGAAACUGUUGGAUGCGUUUGGCCCACUAAAUAACUGCCACGUGCCCACGCGUUAGGUUCGGGAGCUCGAGGAGGCGUGUGAGCCGAAGAGUUCGAAUCAAAAUCAGAUUCGUCGUGCACCGACCAUGAAUAUUACCCAUUAUUAUUAUUAUUAUUAUUAUUAUUAUUCCACAUUUAUUUAUUAUUUAUCUUUAAUUACCAUCUAAUAAAUAGAAAAACUUUUUUCUAAUUAAAUCGCUAGCUAUUUAAAGCCAUUUAAUUGCUUUGCAUACCAACCUGGAAUUUUCAGUGCUCUACUAAAAUCAAAGUUAAUAAAAACAAUAUUUGUACUUAAUUUGUAGUGCUGAUUAGACAAUACCCCAGCAGUAUUUCUUCAAAAUCAUAUCCCCAGUAAUGGCAAAAAAUAAAAAGAAAAAAAAAAAAAUUUGCACUCUCUCGAGUUAAUUUGCUGUAUAAGUUUGAAGCAAUCAAAGCUAAACCAUCGGAAAAAAAGAAAAAAAGAAAAAUAAUGAUUUAGGCCGUGUUUGGAUUGGAUAAGGGGGUUAUCCCCCUCUUGUACCCAAACACCUUUAUGGGUGGAUGGGAAUACUUGUUCCCACCUACCCGGGGAGAGAGAAAAAUUUUUAUUUUAAACUAAAAUUUCAAAUUUAUAAUUUCAAAAUUUAAAUUUAUAAUUUAAAAUUAUAAAUUUUAAAAUUUAAAUUUUAAAUUUGAUAUUUUUAAAUUUUAAAUUUUAAAUUUGAUAUUCUACAUCUUUCAAAUUUAAAUUUGGUCUUAAAUUUAAAAUUUGAUAUUUAAAAUUAAAAUUUUAAAUUUUAAAAGUUAUAAUUUUAAAUUUUAAAUUUUAAGAUUUAAAUUAAAAAUUUAAAUUCAAAUAUAAUGAGAGGGGUAAUAUUAUUAUUUUUUAUUUAUAACCAUCAACUAUUUCUCUUAUUCCUAAUAACCAUCCAAAAUUAAUUUUUCUAGUUCCAGCUUAUACUCAUAUUUUCAUCCAAACAAAAAAACAUCUUUGUUCUUACAAAAAUUCAUAGUUGUACCUAGCUCCGGUAUAACUAGUUCCUAGUGAUUUCCGAACCAAAUGAAGCCUUAGGGUGUAUUUGGUUCCACGUAAAACUGUGGAAAAAAAAAUUUGGGUGGAAAAAAAAUUUUCAGUGGAAAAAAAUUUUUACGUCGUUUGUGUUUGGUUUGUAGGAAAAGAAAAAUAGUUUUCCAUGACGAUUAUUUGGUUGAAAGGAAAAGUAGAUAAAAACUAUUUAAUAUAUUUUUAUUAUAUAUUAUUAUUAAUAUAUAACAAUUAAUAUACUAUAUAUAUUAUUAUUAUUAUUCCACAUUUAUUUAUUAUUUAUCUUUAAUUACCAUCUAAUAAAUAGAAAAACUUUUUUCUAAUUAAAUCGCUAGCUAUUUAAAGCCAUUUAAUUGCUUUGCAUACCAACCUGGAAUUUUCAGUGCUCUACUAAAAUCAAAGUUAAUAAAAACAAUAUUUGUACUUAAUUUGUAGUGCUGAUUAGACAAUACCCCAGCAGUAUUUCUUCAAAAUCAUAUCCCCAGUAAUGGCAAAAAAUAAAAAGAAAAAAAAAAAAAUUUGCACUCUCUCGAGUUAAUUUGCUGUAUAAGUUUGAAGCAAUCAAAGCUAAACCAUCGGAAAAAAAGAAAAAAAGAAAAAUAAUGAUUUAGGCCGUGUUUGGAUUGGAUAAGGGGGUUAUCCCCCUCUUGUACCCAAACACCUUUAUGGGUGGAUGGGAAUACUUGUUCCCACCUACCCGGGGAGAGAGAAAAAUUUUUAUUUUAAACUAAAAUUUCAAAUUUAUAAUUUCAAAAUUUAAAUUUAUAAUUUAAAAUUAUAAAUUUUAAAAUUUAAAUUUUAAAUUUGAUAUUUUUAAAUUUUAAAUUUUAAAUUUGAUAUUCUACAUCUUUCAAAUUUAAAUUUGGUCUUAAAUUUAAAAUUUGAUAUUUAAAAUUAAAAUUUUANCAGUUAAAAUUAUUUUUAUUUAAAAAAAAUAAACGAAGCAACAAUAUGCAACCUUUAUCUCAAGCAAAAAUAAAAAUAAAAAUAGAACACAACGUAGUGUAGUUCCAAUUUAUUAGAUUACAUCAAACUGCGGCUAGGGAAAUAAAUUAUGCGGUGAUACCUGUCCCUAGCGAUGUAAAACGGGCCGGACAGCACUUGGGCCACCCGGCUAGUAUAUAUAUAUAUAUAUAUAUAUAUAUAUAUAUAUAUAAUUGAGCUCCUAUAUUUUUAAAAGUAUUAAGUCAUUGGUGCUUGUAAGUUUUCGUCCCUUAGAUUAAGGAAUGUGCGGUUAGGAUGAUGUGGGCGUCCUGAGGGUGAGUGGAUGAUUGGUUAAAUAAUAUAAUCUAACGGGUAAAAAUGAUCAAAGGCAUAGAUCUAACGGUAUAUAUAUAUGUAUAUAUAAUGAUUGGCAGGUCCACCGUGAACCCCGUGGACCUCCCUUUCACACGGUCCACGAGGCCACACUUUGGCCUCGUGGACUGUGCAAAGUUUUGCCUCCCAUGAGCUGCAAUUUUGGCCCUCCCUUUUCGUUUUCCGCGGCUCUCACGCGGAAAACGAAAAGCAAGUUUUUUCCAACAUAUGUAAAAUAAAUUUUUCCGAAAAAGUUUUUUACCUCCAACCAAACACGCUACAAAGUAGUUUUUCGCGGAAAAUUUUUUUCCGGCCUAUUUUUACGUGAAACUAAAUAUGGCCUUAGUGUAUUUCUACUUUGUCACUCGGUGAUGUAAAAAAUUGUAUUUAACUAUUAUAUGGUCCAGCAUGUUUUCAUCUUAUUACCCCUCAGUUCAAAAGAUUACAUUUAACUAUCUUAAAAUUUUAUUUUUGUUCAUCGUAAAAAUCUAUCAUUAACCAAAGCAUCACUACUAUAUUAAUUUUCAAAAAAAAUUGUUUUACAACCUUAUUUGACAAUAAAUUAUUUCUUUGAUAAAGUACAAGUAAUAUUAUAAAAUUAUUAAGUAUAAUAUUUUUGAACGACGGAUGGCAAGGUAAAAACGCGACAAACCACAACAGAAGAAAUUAAAGUUUACCCAAAAUAAAAGGGAAAAAAAACCAAUUCACAUGUACAAGCAAUUCAACCAAAAAAACCUUCAUCUCAUUCUGGAGGACACUCUCCAACUCUUUUUCUUAAGCUGAGAAGCCUCUCUUUUCCCUCCUUCCUCCCCCUCCUCCCCUUCCUCCUCUCCCACCUCCACCACCUCCGUUUCCCUCCUCCGCGCACCACCACUACUUUUAAGAAUCUCCACCACCUCCCUCAUCGUCGGCCGCCGCUCCGGGUCCCCGUCCGUGCACCGCAUCGCCAACUGCACCAUGUUUCUUAGUUGAUCCCUGUCGUACCUGCACAACAACUGAUUACUUAAGAACAUGUUCUGGUUCAUGAUUGGAAUAAAAAUAGAAAAUAAAUUAGAUUGCAUUGGAAUGAAAAAUAAAAUAUCGAAUCAUCCAAAGAGAAUGCCUGGUUCAUUAUUAAAUAAAAAUCAAAAUGAAUAAUUGAAAUAUCUAAAAAUUUAAAAGAGUUUUAAUCUGAGGGAGAGGUGUUUAUUAGAAGAGACUUCUUAUUUUAAAAUGAGCCAAUUAAAAAUUUAAAGUUAAAUUGAGUCAUAAAUAAUUUAGUCAUACUUCUAUUCCAGAGUGAAAUGAAAAUCGAACUUUAAUUUUUAUAAAAUAAAUAAUAAUUAGCAUUAGAUCUCAUUCGGACUUUGCAUGCCCGAAAAGAUUGAAAAUGUUCAUAUAGAGCAAAAUGAAUGGAUAGUUCCAAUAAAUCUCCAUAUAUGCUAUAAUUUGAUCCUGUACUUUCCAGGCCAAUAUUGUAGCCCCUUAUUUUAUUUUGAGCCUAAUUUUCUUUUUAAUAAAAGGAACAUUUUAUCCUUCUAAUACCACUUCCUUUUUUGGAACAAUAUGUAUUAUUCACUUAUUUUAUUUUAUUUUGAACAUGGUUAGUUAAAUAUGAUCUUACAAUAAAAAAUAUGAUUUUUUUUCCUUUUUAAAACAAUCAGGACUACUGAAGUGCAAUGAAUUUAAAAAUACUUUAGAAAAUAUUUAAGGGUAAAAUAUAUAUAGAAAACUCUCUUAUAAAUAUUAAUUCUUUUUUUUCUUUAUAAUUUUUAAAAAUCUAUAUUUUGCUAUCUUAAAGUUUUGAAAAUAUUUUCAGAAAGUUACGGCAUUAACGGAGAGGACAGAAUGACCAAAUUAUUUCAAUAUAUUUCUGGCAUUUUGAAAGACAUUUUCGUUAUAAAUUAUAAGAAAUAGAUGGAAUGGUAAUGGAACUCCGACGGGGGAAGGCUAAAUACAACAACUUUAAAUGUUGAGAGAUAAAAUAUAAAUUUUUUAAAAGUUAGGAAAAAAAAAGUAAAAAGCGAAUAUUUAUAAGAGAGUUUCUAUAAUUUAGCCAAUAUUUAAAUUGAUAUCAUGUGAAAUAAUGAGAGUACUAUUUUAAAAGUUUCUGCGCGUAGGAACAAGUACAAUAUUUUUAAUAUUUUAUAUUCAACACAGCAUGUACCUUCCGGCAAGCCUGGGGUCCACCAGGCGGUCCCAGCGGCCCUUCUCGACGAGCGGGGCUGCCCACUGGACGAUCUCGCGCUUGACCCCGCCGGGCAGCUUCUCGAUGGGUCGGCGGGCGGUGGCGGUCUCGAGGAGGAGGAUGCCGAAGCUGUAGACGUCGCAGCUCUCGGAUACCUUCCCCCACAUUGCAUACUCCGGUGCGAGGUAGCCGAGCGUGCCCUUGACGCGGGUGGUGAGGUGCGUGACGCCGUCGGGGACGAGCUUCGCGAAGCCAAAGUCGGCGACCUUCGCGGUAAAGUCGGAGUCCAGGAGCACGUUGCUGGCCUUGAUGUCCCGGUGGAUUAUGUGAGGACUUGCCUCAUGGUGCAGGUACCUGCAGUAGUAUAUACAUGCAUGUACAUUACUUGUUAUCUCUAUAUUACAAAACUAUAUAUAUAUAUAAAAAAAAAAUGCACAUUUUUCGGGAAUUUUGAAAAAUUUCUGCGCAGCCCAAAUUUCUGGCCCAACUCCGCUAACUAAAACAGGCUGUUAAAGAAGCCCAAUUUCAACAUCUUUUAUGGGAGAUGAAGGAACUCAAACUGCUACAAUCAAAGUGUCCAAAACCUUCAGUAGAUGCUCCAAGGUCAUGGGCAACUUUUGGAUUCCCUUUUAUAAUUUUUCUAGGCUUAGAGGGUGAGCUAAUAUGGGCUAGAUAGUGGAUAAAUUCAAUAUAUAUUGUGCCCAUAAGUAAGAAGGUAAGCUGAGGUCAAAGCGCAAGAGGGAAUUGUGUUUUUUUUUUUUUUUUGAGAGAGAGAUAGGUAGCACGCUACCCGCUUCGUUUAUUUCAUUUAGAAAUAGACUUAGAUGAAAAUGUGAAUCAAUUAGGAUUCGAAUUUGGGUCUCGGGUACCAACCACCUAGCCCUGCCCUUUGCCACUUGCUCUAGGGACGGUCGGUAGAGAAUUGUGUAGUAAUCCAUUUUUUCUAAGUAACAGAAUAUUUAGUUAUUUUUGAAGAACCUCUGUCUAUCUUUUUUAUCUCUUUUUUUCAUUUAGUUGUAAGAUAUGGAGGUCCAGAUUAGUAAAUAGAGAGUAAGACUUGCCCAUUUAUGAAGAGGAAGAUGGCAUCGCACGGGCUUUGCGAGCAAAAUUACUAGCCAAGUCCCAAAUAGCACGCUAGGAUAUUAUACUUUUGAAAAUACAGAGGCCUUUGUAUUUUUAAGUUAUUUUCGAUAAUAAGAUAUUCAAUUCGAUAAUCGAAAACAACCUGAGUUUUAGCACGCUAGGAUAUAAGUUUCUGAAUUUGAAUUCUACCAAAUUUAUAACGUUAUUUAAUUUUCUCUCAUUCGAACUGGGUCUAUCAAAAGUCUCAAAUUCAAGCAUGAAAAAAAGUAUUGAUUAUAAAUAUUAAAAAUAUCAUUCUCGCUCAACAUUUUAGAGCCAUGUGCUAAUGGCCUAUAACGUGUUAUAGAAAAUAAAAUAAAAAAAUUAUAGCCGAAUCAUACCACUUCCUAACUCAGUGAUUUACCAGAAUUCUUCUUUUUUUUAUAUUAAAUUUACUUAAUUGACGAAUUUGACCAGGUUUUAUAUAUAGAUUCUCUGGCCGAAUUUUGCUCUAUAUAUUAGAAUUAAUUUAUAGCCAAUCCGAUGCAAAUUCAAAUUCAAAUUCAAAAUUUGCAUGCUCGUCACAAUGAAGAGCAAAAUUUUCGUAACUUACGCGAGGCCCUCGGCAGCUCCAAUGGCGAUCUUCAUCCUGAGAGGCCAAUCGAGCACGCGAUCGGCGGCAUGGCGGCCGUGGAGGUGGCUGAUGAGGCUGUGGUUCGGCAUGUAGUCGUAGACGAUGAGCCUCUCGUCCCCGCCGGCGUAGAAUCCUCGAAGGCUCAAGAGGUUUUUAUGCCUCACCCUCCCAAGUAUCUCUACCUCGAUCGCGAAUUCCAUCUCCGCCUUUGCCGUCAUCGCCUUGAGCCUUUUUACUGCGAUCUGCAGCAAUCAAAUAUAUACUUAGUAAAAAGAUUGAGCUUACUCGUAGUUUUUUUUACUGUAACUAGCAGCAAAAGUUUCAAAAUAGAGUUUCUAUUUUUAUACGAUCUGAACUAUAAAGAAGUACUCAUCCAAACAUGAAAUAUAGGUAACAAGCAGUUCUAAUGUUACCUCCACUCCUUUCUUAGUUUUGCCCCAGUAAACAGUUCCGAACCCGCCCUCGCCGAGCUUGUUGCUCUCGUUGAAGUUAUUUGUCGCGUGCAGGAGCUCUUUCAAGGUGUAGAUCUCCCACGGAUAGUCGUGGCUAUCGUUCGAUCUAAAAGUUAUCAACACGCACAAAUUGUUAUGCCAAAAAGAGUUACGUCAUCAAAUGAGUUGAUUUUUAUAUUGACAGAUAGAUUCAUUCGAUCUGAACAGUACUUGCUAGCUAAAUUAGAUCAAAUUUAAUGAAUCUGCUCCUUACGUACCUUCGCGCUGCCUCCGAUUCGCCGGUGAUGCAACACAGGCAUCUUUUGAUCAUUUCUAUGACAAGCCAAAGUGAAAGGAACUCUAACCAAAAAAGAAAGGGCUAAUGGAAAAGAGGAGUUCUAAGGAGAGGGAGAAAUUGAGGUGAAAAAGGACAGUGAGAAAAACAAAGCUUGGGCUCUAAAACUUGCUAUAAUUUGUUCUCUUGUGGGUUGUUUGUGUACUUUGUUCUCUAUUCUCAUUGGAGGCUUCACUUUGUAAGUUUAACUUCUCUGGAAGAAGAGCUCCUUAAUUUUAAUAUUUGCAAAAACUCUACAAAUUAAAAUCUUUUCGUGUGAACGUGUGCAUUGAAAAUGUCAAAACGGGUAACAAUAAUCUAAGUUCAAAUUCCAUUUUUGAGAUUAAUUUAUUUGAGGGGGUUGAGAGAAUUGGUGCUGUUUGAAUGAGACCUUUAGCUACAUAACAACUUGAUCAAGUGAAUGUAAUGUUUAUUAAUGGCUUAUAAUGAUGAGUGGAAGCAGCUGGAGCUUAAACAAUUAAUGUUAUUUGGAGAACUAGACUAAUGAGACUAGACCAGGAAUAUACUCAUAAUAGAUGCAAGGAUACAAAGUUAAAAGUGGUUCGGAGUAUUCUCAAUGCGUUGCAUCAUAUCUCGGGCAGGGUCGCAAAUAAUUGUUACUUAAAAUAUCGAUCAUAAGAAUAACUUGAUAUCUGAAAUGUGUGCGUAUUUUCUAUCGUAAAUAUUUUUCAGAGAAGAAAGAAGUUUUAUACAACUAUUGUAGUCAGUAGUACGUUUGUAUUAGAUUUAAAAAGUAAAGUUAGAUGUCGAAAGAAAAUAGACUUAGUUAUGAAAUUUCAAGAAUUGCAGCAUAGUUUUUGUUUUUUUAAUAUAUAGUGUUUAACAAAAGGAUAGUGAUAUUAAUAGAUUUUAUUUUUUAUAAGAGCAUUUUUGGAUUCAUCAAAUUUUAUCAAAUUUAGUCAAUAAAUAAUAACCUUUUUAAGGCCUCAUUCUUUGAUGACGUCGUUGUGAGGGAAAAAAAUAAAAAAAUUCCAUAUUUAGGUAUUAUGACCUUGUCAGAAAGUGCAGGUUUGUUCUCUAGCUAAUGAAAGCAACUUUCCACCUAAUACGUAUUCAAAAAGCCCUUGAAAAGGUCUCUACGCUUCUUCCUCUUUUCUUAAUAACUUACUAGUGAAACAUUUAUGAUAAUAGAGUGAAAGGUAUUGCUUAGCGUAUAACCAAACUAACAUGGAACUACACUCCAUUGGCCAAAAAUGCCAAGCAAACUUUGUAAUAGAAAUGUUGUUAUGAAGAGAGAGAGAGAGAGAGAGAGAGAGAGAGAGUCAAAUUGUUAAUUGUUGUUGAAUAAAACAAUUAGAUUUGGAUUUUAAAUUAUUGUGCUCCGGCAACUAAAGCUUUUUGAUUUAAAACAAUCGUUUCAUAUUUAGUUAAUAUAAAAAUAUCAUUCGGCUUAAACUUUUGAAGAAAAAAAAUAAUAAUUGUUUUAUAUUAUUUAACAUAGUAGGAGAGUCGGAGAUUCUGAGUUUAACUUUUUCAAGUGAAGCGAAAUCCACAUCUUGGACUUAUUAGAAAGUCUUGAAUCAAAACGUAUGAGGAAUGUUGGGUAUAAAAGUGUGAAAAUACUGUUUUGUAGACGUUAAGCUUUCGGAGAAAAAGAUGAUUGUUUCUCUUUAUUUAACAAUUAUUAACUGCAACAUUUAGCAAAUUCUGAGUGUGGCACUCAACAUUUGAACUAUCAAGCACAAUUAGGUCACUAACAACAAACAAGGAUCUAGAUCCUUUCAUUGAAUUCCUCUAUUUAGAUGCGAUGGAGAAAUCCACUUGAUCACCAAUUAGCAACCAUUGAGACAUUUCCUUUACAAAAGUAGUAGGAUUUGUUUUGCUUACAUGGAUACAUAUUACAUGAAUAUCCUGGUACUUUUAACAGAUUACAAGGACAUGCAAAAAGUUAAAGGAUGUAUGAACUAUGAAGGUAAUGAAGAAGGGAGAAAAUUAGAACCAAAUCAGAGCCAAAAAGAGAGUUCGCAGAAACCCUCCACUUGCAUUCAACUUUCUACAUCUUCAGUCACAUAAGGUUCAAAGAGAGUCACACUGGGUUUGGGAUCGUAUUGCAGUAUAUCAGCAGCCCUCUCAAAUUCCUCCCUCAAAAUUUUGACAGUGUGUUUGUCGACUACACGACCGAGAUCGCGCGAGGUUUCGAAUGGAUCUUCAAUGCAUAUCAGGUGGCGAUCGUUUCCCACUCGAGUUGUCCAGUGCUUCUCUUGUUUGCUAAUCGAGAAGCAUAAUCAUAAGCAUUUGAAGAUUUCUAAAGCAGAAAAGUAUACAUGAAACUGCUUAAUUAGCUAGUGCAAAUUUUUUAAGAAAUAGAAAUCAUUCAAUUAAUUAGGAACUAACGGAAUAAUAACUAACGGAAUCUUGUGCGAUAUCUGCAUUAUGUGGAACACUAGGGUUUAAUAGGAAACCUGAUUAAUUUUUAGAAGGCUCGAGAUGUUGAAAAUGUCUACAAGCAGAAAAUACAGACACAAGAAAUAGCCUAAAUUAAGUGAAAUUCCUCUCUUAAGUUAUUUUCGUUGAAGCACACCAACCUAUCAGACUUACGGUACGUACCUACACAAUACAUAGAAUAAACCUAAAGCUAUAGGCAUUUAUGAAUAUAAAGAAACUAGUGAUUCGGCAUAGAGUUUACAGUACAUGUUCAACAAUAUACAUGUUUAAAACUUGCCCUUCAAUCUUUCCUAAGAGCAACUAAGGAUAUCUUUAAACAUAUGGCUCAACAAUGGUUGGGUUGUAACUAGCAGCUAAGUUUCUUUACUGUUCUACCUUAUCCAACAUAUGGCUCAACAUUGGUUCAGCUGUAAACAGUAGCUAAGUUUCUUCAGUGAUCUACCUUAUUUAGGGAGCAAACAAAGUUUUGAAAGCACAUAUCGUCUCAAUAAUUAAAAGAGCACACCACAAAGUGGGGUGUGCAUCUUACAUCUUCACCAUCCAAAGGCCAUCAAUUCUCUACUUAUCACAUCAACAAAUUUUUUUUUUAAACUAAAAACCAUUUGAAUUUUUGUGAACCCUAGGAUAGAGUGUAAGACCUACACCCCCCUUUUGGGGUGUACAAGUAGAAUUCCCUUUCUAGAACAAGCAAACUAGCAGAAAUGAGAUCAUAUUAGACAGGUAUCUUGUAUGUUUCUGCUUGCCGGUGACACAUGAUCCAAGAUUAUAAUAAUGCGAUAGAAACAGAAGUAAAAGAUAAGAGAGCACAACAUAUUUUACCUAAUAAUGCUCCCUGUUCGAACAGAUAUGACGUCAUUUUUGUAGUCAUGUUUGUACGCCCAGUAAUGAAAAAAUGCCCAAAGCAAUUGUGCAAUAUUUUCCUUAUUUUUAGCACCAAAAUUGCUGAGUUCUUGAACUUGAUCAAAGUAAUUACAUUCAACACCAUCAAUAGUCAAUGUGUAUGUUGCUUCCAUUUCCUGGCUCAUGGAAUUGCAGCAUUAGUUUGAAACAGGAUCAUGAAUAAAACAUCUAUACAUGUAUAAAGGCCAUACAAAAGCAGGUUCUCAAGCUUCUUUCUCUGAAGAGAAAGAUUUAACUUGUGCAGUAUCAUGAUGUAAUUAUUGAACUUGCUUUUGAAACUGAUAUCAAAUCCAACUUUGCAGUAAAAAAUGAACUUCAAAAUAACCAUCAGGCAAACUAAAUUAAAUUUCUAAAUGUUCAAGAGAUUUGACUUUUUGGAGUCAUGAAUGAAGCCACAUUAUACAAAUUACUUCCAAAGUGCAAUCUUGUUCUCCAACACAAAUUUAUAGCCUCAAAAGGCAAUCAUGUAGCGGCAGUUAUCUUUAACUAGUCAUGAAUUAAAUUUCCUUGAGGGAUCAACAAUAAAGAAACAGGAAGAAGUAAAAGUUAAGAAAGGAACAACGACAGACAAAAUUGGAGACGGCAAAGAGGAGAACAAGAAAGGAGAAAGGUACAAACACACCAAAGCAAUGCCCUAUAUUCAAUAAGUGCAACGGGCAGCAAAUUACAGACCUGUAAACAAGGUAGAAUAGCAGGUUUGCGCUGUUGUAGAAAGUGAAUGCACAUAAUCACAUAUCUGAAAGAUGAUAAAGAAGAAAAUAUGAUCACAUUCCAAGCAAACAAAUUUCUAGUAUGUGGAAGAGUUAUAAAUGAGGAUCAGGAAACUCACGUGUAACUAGAAAGAGUUCCUCGAUACGCUUCAUUGAUGGCCCGUGACUUCGCCCAGUGUUUCACAAUAAGAACCAAUUGAUGUAAUCUGUCAUCUAUCUGGGCAUAAUCCUUAAGGAGCUUUGUAUUGGCAACAGCCAAAAGAUUAUUUAUGCAUAUAUCACACGAAAUACCAGUUACUGGGUCUGUCAUCCUCACAAUAGGAACUCUAGCAUUGGUGAUAGCCUGUGCGAAUAAUUUCAUUAAUUAAACAGUUCGCAAGAAAUGAUCUUUAAAAAUACAAAUGCACUAAUAAAAGCUUACAAAAUAAACUUGAGAUUCUACAGCAAUUUCAAAAUACUAGAAGUCAAGAUCGAUAUUUUCCUUUCUAAAGAGUAGAAAGUACGUAGAGAAGUAAAUUAGUACUUGCAUAACAGUUUAUACUAGUCCACUCACUUAGCCAUUUCUCAACUACACGACCUAGGUUAUAUUGAAAAAAAAAAUUAUGUUUAGAUGAAAAAUGCUUAAUUAUCCUCUUAGACGUAAUCAAAUAAGAAGUGACUGAUGUAACAGAGUGAACAGUGUUAAAUAAGCACCUACCAACAAUAGAAAUCUAGUUUGACUAUCCUUGAGGACCAUGCCUAUCAGCCUGCAAGAAAUUCAAGUUUUGAAUGCCGUGCUACUGGAGAGAGAGAGAAAAAAAAAAAGAGACUGUUAUAAACAUCAGACACACAGAAAUAGAAGAAGCAAUACUGUAAAAGUUGGGGAGAAAGAUUGGCCAACUGCAUAGGGUUAGGUGCUUAAAGGAGCUUUACCAGAAUGGUAGCUAAAUACACGAGAACACACAAGGGAAAAAAAAAGAAAAGAAUGUGUCAUUACUUCAUUUCUAUUAAAAAAGAACCGAUAAUGCAUGUAUGAGGUUUCAGAUAAUGCGAUGGCUUUAACACUCGAUUUGGUGUAUAUCACAUGGUAUAAUACGUGAAACAUAUGUGCUAUAAACAUGAUAUGUAGCAAACAAAUUGAGACUUAGUACCCCAAUAUAGAACAAUAAUAAUGUAACAGCUUGUAUUCCCAAAAUAAAAAAUAAUCUAACAGCUUCAGUACAUAAAACCAGCAUAAAAAUUAAAGGUAGCUGCCGAUAUUAAAGCCAAAAAAUUGGUGAAUACUCAAGAGUAAAUGCAUGUAAAAUGGUAUCUCAGGACCUACCUGCACAUUUUGAAAAUUAUUCAACUCCAUAAUAUCUGCUACUUUGAGCAGCAUGUUGUGAUUGCUAGCAGUGCUAUCAUCAAUUGCAAUGCAUAUAUCAAUGUCGCUAUUUGAGAACCCAAAGGUAUUAGCCCAUGAACCAUAGAGGUGCAGCUGAGCUUCAGGCCACUCUUUGUUGAGUGAUUUCGCCAGUAAGGAUAAGAGAUGCUCUUGAUUAGCCUUAUCUUCUUCUGCCGGUAUUAGAGUUUCAUAUAGUGAAAAGAAAGAAGGGGUGAACGUCUCAAUGUCACAAGGGCGUUCUCUUUGGCUUUUGCGUGCUCUUGUUUGCAAGCUUGAUAUUUUGUGGCCCCUAAGAGCAUCUGAUCUUAAUUCCUGCGGACAAAAUGUUAAUGUAAUUUUCCUAGAAAAUUUAGGUAAAAUUUGAGAAUUGCAAAAGUUGUAGAAUAAGAUCAUAAGCCACCUUCAUUAAUGGAAAUAUACUCUAAAUGAAUUAGGUUCGAUGAGCCUUUACUUCCAUCAGUAUUAUGGUCGAAAAGCAGGCAAUAAAAUCAACCCAACUUUACGGUUUUACGUUUCUAAAUUCUUUGGUGACUAACCUGAGAGUCAGAAAAUUUUUGUGCUUGAUCAUAAAAUGAUCCUCUAGUAGGCAAUGGAAAUUUGUUCUACACGUUAUAACUUGAAAAACAGCACCGAGUAUAAAGGUCUACAGUGGAGAUUGGCUUUUUUUUUUUUCUUCCGUAGAUCAAUGGGGCGGUAUGCUAAUCGACCUAAAAUGAGAUAUUGUUCACUAGUGGAGCUAAAAAUGAGACUCUGAAGAGCAAACCACCUAUUGAUGGCUCCAAAUAAGUAGGGUUCGCACACUAGUGGAGCCAAAUUGAGACUUCGAACUCCAAAUAAGAAGAACUGGAUGGAAAAGAACAGGAGUCAUAUAAUACUUUCCUACGGCCACCCAAGUAUUAUGGAGAAAUUAAUUAUGGCGUAUCAGAAACCAACAAUUUUAUUUUUCUCUGAUAGAAAACAGAUUAAAAUUACCUUCCGACUCCAAGUUUUGGAGCUUAUUUCCAUCUUUCUGCAAUCAAGAUCAUCAUUAAGCUCCAAAGAAUCUAUCAUUUCUUCUUCUAGAGCAUCAUCCUCCUGAUGAGCACCUUUUCUUUCUCCCGCAGCAUCCGACGGCAAACUAUCAACGGAUUCUUCGCGAUCACCCUCUGAACCAGACCCAUUGUUGUUGCAUUCGCAAUCAAACUCAUCACCAUUGCAUUCCAAUUCACAAUUACCAACUCUCUUCCCCUUCAAAGGAACCCACUCCUUCCUCACCUUCGGCUUGUUCUCGCGGGGGGCGAUCGCCGCCGUCGGAGCCCACUCGUGGCGUCGCCGGGCCCGAUCAUCCGCACCCCAUCUCUUCGCACUACGGUCGUGGUAACGCUCGAUCGGAGCGCAUUGCCGCCGCGGCAUUCGCCUCUCCUCCCUCCGGCUCCCGCCAAAACUGCAGAGAUCGCCUUCCCCGCCGCCGCUUCCCCCGGGCCUGUUCCUGAUCCCGAUCCCGUUCCCGUUCCCGCCCCACCCACCACUCCAACUCCUCUCUCCUCGGACGCCAGAAACUGGCGCCGCCUCUCGCUGCCGAAGCCCCGGAUUCGGGAUCGGAGGAGUCGGCAAUGGCGGAGGCGGAGGAGACGGAGGAAGAAGCGCCCCGGGCUGAAACCGCCAUGAGAGCGGGAGCGCGUCGGGGAAGGCCGUCCGAGGGAGGAAGACGACGCGGCGGUCGGCGGCUUCCGCCGCCUCCGCCGGCGGCGGCGGCGCCAUCAGCUUGUGAGGAGGGACGAGGAAGCUGGAGCUCGCGGCGGAGGUGGCGGCGGGAUUCUCCGGCGGCGGCGGAGCGGCGGCGGAGGAGGACGAGGGUUGGGAAUGGUAGGGUUUUGAGAGAAGCUUGAGGAGGAGGCCACUGAAUGGGGGGUUAUCGUCAUCCCCGGUGACGUCACCGCUACCGGACAUUUGUAAGCUUCGCUGUGGCGGGGAGAGAGUGAGAGAGAGAGAGGGAGGGGGGAAAGGGGAGUAGGUACAAGGAGUGGGGAAUGUUUUUAUUAUUAUUAUUAUUAUUAUUAUUAUUAUUAUUUGUAUAAACUUUGUGAGAGUGUUUCUACUUUGUGCCUUCACUCGAAUUACAUUGUUCAUGCGAGAAAGGUUGAGCAGCCAAUUAAAGAAGAAAAAGGGCAUGGACACAGACCAAAAAAAAUAAAAACGAAGGGGUUAUAUUAUAAACUAGUUAAGGGACCCGCGCUUCGCGACGGAAAACUAAUAUAAUAAUAAAUUAUUAGUAAUAUUAAAAUUAUUUUUUGCGUAUUAUGUAUUAAUAUAUUUAAUUAUUAUUUAAAGAAUUAACUAAUUAAUAAAAUUAAAGUAUUUAACAUGUGGGUCCCACUAAGUAAUACAAAUAAUAAAAUUAAAUAAUAAACUAAAUAAAGAGUUCGUGCUACUGAAAAUGAUUGUGAUUAAAGAGUAAUAUAAUUUGGAAUAAAACAUGUACUACAUCCCAUAGUUCUUCAUAUCCAUAAAGCAUAUAAUAAAGCAAGAAACAUGCAGCUACAUCCGAUAGUUCUUCAUAUCCAUAAAGCAUAUAAUAAAGCAUGAAGCUAUAUUCUAUAGCUUGUUAUUUAAAACAGAUUGGAAGUGAUAUUAAUUAUAAAUCUUCUUAGCUAGUCUCCAUAUGUGGAAGAGUCUUCAUCGAAACUGUAAAUCAAAUAAAAAAUAAAAUAGUUGAUUAUAAUCAUAGAUAUAAAUAUUAUAUAUGUGUCAAAAAAAGAUGGAUGAUAUUCAAACGCACAUAAGCCGUUUUCUUUUGGCAGAUUGGCUUUUGCUUCCAUCGUCGGCAAAUGGUGGAGAGCUGUGGGUAAAACCAUAGACGCAUAGAUUUAUAAAGUUAAGUAGAAAUAAUAUUAAUAGAAUUAGAGGAAAGUUGGAAUAUUAUUAAUAAUCUUGGAUAUGUCUUUCUAUAUACACAUAUAUACACUAAAUAUUUAUUGAUAGUUCUAAGCACUUAUAAUAAUAUUAAACAGCAAGUAACCAACUCUAGAAUUUUCAGUAUAUAAUACGAAUUAAAUAUGACAAAAGAGUGAAAAUAUUACCUUAAAGAAAUGGUUGUACUCGGGGAUGCCUGGGCAAUUAAUUCUUUGGAAAUGUCUCUGUGAGUAGUAGCUCCAUCAACUUUUUCUUCACAUUUAAUUAAUGAAUUCUCGGUCGGAAAAGUGAUUGCUUUUGUAUCAUAGUGAUUAUUAAAGAUUUUGACAACUUUAAAAGAAGGAAUGCUUGUUCUGAAUCUUUGUAUGUCAGGUAUUAUUUGAAAGAUAUGUUUAUAUCCAAUAAUUGAUUUAAUUGCCGGAGGAAGAGUAAAUUUUUCUGAACCAAUAUAACACGAACACGUAAGAUAUUAAAUACAUUAGAAAAUGAUGUAAAUUAAAAUGUAAGUAGGUUCUGGAAAAAGUGUGAGAAAAUAAUGGACCAAUUUGAAGGACUCCCUUCAUCACUUGAGUAGGUAACAGGAACAGAAAUGCACACGGGGUUGCCUACCAACAGGCCAUCCAACCUUUCGGCAUAGUAUAUGCCCUAAAGAGUCGCCACCUUCACGCAAAGAAGCUGUAAAUCCGGAAACUGAUAAAAAAGCAAGAAUAUACAACACUGAAGGGAUGUAACAGUUCCUCACAAAUAGAAACCAUAUAAAUGUGAACAACCAAGUAAAAGCACGGGAGAAGAGAGAGGGAAAAAAAAAACUUACAAAAGCAAGAGGGAAAUGAAAAGUAUACAGUGUAGUGUGAAACCAAAAAACACAUGUUAGCCACCAGCUAAAGUCCGAAUUACAAAAGAAGGCAAAUUUUUUGGGUAAGAAGGGCGUGUGCACGCCCCACUUAAUUUGACAGCACAACAAAGCCACAUCACAACAAAGCCAGGUAGUGAGGAGAACCCGUUCCCACAUAUCAGUGCCAAGUAAAUAAGCAAAUGGGCUAGGCAAUAUAAAAAACAGGUCAGGGGGAGGGAGGAGGGGUGGGGGUACCUAGCACAGUAAGCAGGCAGCAACACAGGUGGAUAAUAUAGAUGCUUACAAUUAUGAAAUUAGUUAGCACUAUAAUUUAGGCAGUACUAUAUGUUCUAUUGUAAAUAGUGUAAUUCUACUUUCAAAUGCAGGAAGAGGACAGUGCAGAACUUUCUGCAAAAGAGUGCUAUUUAUAGACUCUACCAGAUAAAGCAAGUAGAGAGAAGAAGAGGAAAGGAGGGUAACGUAGGAAUGACAUCACUAAAUAUUGGCAUAUCUUCCCCCCCUUUUAUUCCUUUUUUUCUCUCUAGUUAAAACCAGGGACCAAAAANUUUUAUUCCUUUUUUUUUACUCUGGUUUAAACCAGGGACCAAAAAAAGAGGCAUAAGGGUCAAAUAGAUAUAGAUUUAGGGGCCACCAUAAUUUUGGAUUUCAUCGCAACCACACAUCACAGAAGCAAGCCCUGGCAUAUCUUCCCCCCCUUUUAUUCUUUUUUUUCUCUCUAGUUAAAACCAGGGACCAAAAAGUAAGGCAUAGGUGCCAAAUACAGACAACCGCACAUCACAGAAGCAAGCAUUGGCAUCUCUCCCCCCCCCCUAUUAUUCUCUUUUUUUAUCGCUGGUUAAAGCCAGGGACCAAAAAGAGAGAGGCAUAGGGGGCAAAUAGAUCUAGAUUUAGGGGCCACCAUAGUUUUGGAUUUCAUCACAACCAUACAUCACAGAAGCAAGCCCAUUAACAGUAGAGUAUAUCCAGAGAGAGAUUAGAAAUAUGAAGCAGAGAGAAGGCUCACCUGUAGGUAUAGGGGUAGAGUCAUGAGUAGAGAGAGGGCUCACCUAUACUCGAUAGGUAUAAUGGCCGAGCCAUCAGCCAGCAGAGGGGAGACCUCACCUGUAAGGCUUGUAGGUAUAGGCAUAGACCCAUGAGAGAUGGUCCAACCCGAUGACAGCUAAGGAGAGAUGGCGAGGGUAGCGCUGAGCCGCCAAACCCGAUGACUGUAAAGGAGCGAUGGCGCGGGUAACGCCGAGCCGCAAACCCGAUGAUAACUAAGGAGCGUUGGCGAGGGUAACGCCGAGCCGCCGAGGAGAGAAGAGAGUGAAAUCGUUUGGGUGAGGAGAGGGACGGCGCGAGGAGUAGAGAGAGAGGCGCGAGAGAGCGACGGGGAGAGCGAGAGCUAAAGCGAGAGAGAGAGAACGGCGGGGAGAGAGAGCGGUGGGUAGAGAGAGAAAGGGAGAGAGAGAUAGGGGAGAUAGAGAUGGCCUGAGGGAGAGAGAGAUAGAGGAGAGCAUCGGGUAGAGAGAGGGACGGUUAGAGAGAGAUAGGAGGAGACAGAGAUGGGUUGAGGGGAGGAGAGAGAGAGAGAGAGAGAGAGAGAGGAGGGAGUUUUACAGCUGUUUUAUUAAUUUUUUACUUUUAUUUUUUUUUCCAGCGUCAACUCUUGAACGCCUAGCACGUGGUUAGAGAGAGAUAGGGAGAGAUAGAGAUGGGUUGAGGGAGAGAGAGAGAGGAGAGGGGGUUCUACAGUUGUUUUUUUUUUUCUUCAUUUGUUUUUUUUGGUUCGCAGCCCCACCUCUUCAACUGCUGCCACGUGGAUUUGGCUUCCCUCCACUCUCCACGUGGCACCGUUGUACCGUCAAAUAGAAUAGUUAUAGAUUGUACUUUACAUCAAUUGUAUAAUUAUAUAAAUUGUUGUAUAUAUAUAUAUAUAAUAUAGAGAGAGAGAGAGAGAGAGAGUUGGACUGGGCUACUAUUAGUAGCAAAAUUUCAUUGUUGCUACCAGUUUUUUAGCCUUUGGAUUAACUCUUUUUAUUAUUUCUAACCAUUGCAUUAAAUACUAUAACCCAGUGGGGACCACUCAGCCUAGGGGGGCCACUCAACUCUAACUGACUAAUAUCAUCCUGACCCUACAAUUUUUCAUCCAAGGGUUAAAAAUUUGAUAGCAAAAAGAGCGUUUUACUAUUAAUAAUAUUCCAGCCUAAUAUAUAUAUAUAUAUAUNAUAUAUAUAUAUAUAUAUAUAUAUAUAUAUAUAUAUAUAUAUAUAUAUAUAUAUAUUGAGAGAGGUACGGAGGCGGCAGUAUCAAUAAUAAGUCAUCCGAUUCGACUAUCGGUUUUAUUAGACAUAAUUUACAUUAUUAAAACUAUUUAAAAAUCAAAUUUUAUAAUUUAUUGACUUUAUUUGCCUAGUAAACAACUAGCUUUAAAAUGAACAGUUGAAAAUAAAAAUCUCAUACAAAACAAAACAGUGAUAAAAAACUCAAAUUUUACGUCAAAAAUAUUAAUUUUUCUAUUAAUGUUAAGUAGAAUUUUAUAUUAAAGUUUCAUAUAAUUUAGAUUGUUCUACAUGUUAAACUUUAAAACGUACCACAUCGACCAUUAAAAUCGUCAUUUUUUAGACAUUUUGAUCACUUACUAAAUGAAAUCAAAAAAUUAUGAAAAUUUCGUUUCUAAAUAAUUCCAAUAGCGUAUUAUGCCUAGCGUAGAGUAUAAAAAAUAAAAUUUUUAUUAACAUUUUAUUAUCUGUCAGUAUUUGUAAAGUUAAAUUAUCCUAAUAAUUUUAUUUAAAAAAUCAAUCAAAUUUUUAGUUUUGAUAGUUAUUUUAUAAAUAAUUUUUUUAACUAAAAAGUUAAAGUUUGAGGAUUUAUUUCAAAUUACAGAAUAGGCGCGGAUGUUUUUUUGCUUUACUAAAAUUGAUUUGAGGAAAAAAAAACUAUUACAUGCAUCAAGCGUAUAUUAAUCCUUCGUACACCUAGAGAUGUCAAACGGGCCGGGCGGCCAGCAGGUUGUUCGGCCCGACACAAGAGUGGGUCGGGCCGAGGCACGGCAGGAGUACCGUAGCACUCGUAUCGGACCGGCCCGGCCUGGCCAGAUAAAUCGGAUCGUGUUGGGCCUUGGUGGCCCUGCACGGCACGACAUGACACGGGUCUGGGCCGUGCCGGGUCUGUUGGGAGGCCCCGGCCCGGCACGGCCCGAGUGACCCGUGUCCAAGGGUAUGCUAUGGCAGACCAUUGGGAGGUGGGCAUUUUGAUCCUUUCGGACCAAAAUACAUUUUCCAACAACCAAAAAUUUGACGAUUGGGAGAGUAUUUUGAUUCAAAAAAUAUUUAAAAUUUUUAAAUAAUUUUAAAAUUUUAAAAUUUUUAUAUAUUUUUUAAAUUUUAAAUUUUUUUCACUUAUAUAUUAUUUUUAAAAAAUAAUAUUUUUAAUUUUUAUUUUUAAAAAAAUUUAAAUAUUUUUUAAAUAAAAUUAAUAAAUAAGAGAGGCUGGCCUGAAGCCUGGCCCGACUGGCACGACCCGUACCACUUGGGCCGGGGCGCCGUGCUGGGUCGGGGUCCAAAAACUUUGGCUUAGCACGGUCGGGUCGUGCCAGGCUGGCCUUCGGCACGUUUCAGCCGGACUAAAUGUGGGCCGUACCAGCUUGGCACGGUCCACAUUACAUCUCUACAUACAUCGCAACAUAUAUUAGAUGAUUAAUAUUUUAAUAUCAAAUUUUAAUUACAUAUAUAUAUGAUCUAUAAAGUCUAAUAAUUUAAAUUAUAUUUAAUGAAUUAAUUUUAAAUUUUCAAUUAAAGAGUUUUAGGCAUGUGGUGUAUGUACAAAUAUACACUUGGUGUAGAGAAUGCUAUUAGAAUGUACUCAUAAUUUCAAGAGGGAAGAAAUCUUUACUUGCACCUAAUUUAUACCAAUACUCCAAAAUAUGUAAUAUAAAAUAUCUAAAUAAUUUAUUGUAUUAUAUAGAUUUAUCUUUGAUACGCGGCAAACUCUCAUUGGAUUUUGCCUUAAUUGGCAACAUGGCUCACUAAGAAAGCCCCCUCUUGAUUUGACUGAACUGUCUUUUUUUUUUUUUUUUUUGAGAGAGAUAGAUAGCAUGCUAUUCGCUUCGUUUAUUUCAUUUAGAAAUAAACUUAGUUGGAAAUGUGAAUCAACUAGGAUUCGAACUUGGGUCUCGGAUAUCAACCACCAAGCCCUUUGCAACUUGCUCUAGGGACGGUCGGUACUGUCAAAUAGUAUUUUUAUUAUAGAUUAUUUGCCAUGUAAAAGUUGAUUGAUAAAAAAAUAAAUUUGGCAUUUUGGAUAUAUAUGCUGCAAAUUUGCUUCUGAAAGAAAAAUGCUAUCCAUAAACCACCUUUGGAACGUAUAUCACAUACAUCAAAUUCAUUCUUUGGUUCUAAUUUGUCACUUAUUAAUGAUUAAUAAAAAGAAUUUAUCCACUAAAUAAGUAAGAUGUAUAAUUUAUACACACUUUUAAAUAUAUCGAUAGCAUUACUCCUAAUUAAAUGCACGGCCAAGAUUCAAAAUGCUUAUGUUACAGAUAAAAGGUAAUGAUUUGCAACAUUUUUAGCACUUGUUUCCUGAAGUAUACACGUCGCUUACUCAAACGUAGAUCACACAUUUCUCUCGAAAAAGAGUAUAUCACACUUUAGUGUGUUAAACAUCAUUUGUACACUAAAAGUUUAAGCUGUUAAAGAACGGUAUUUAUAUAAUUUUAUAUUUAACACUCCCCCUCAUGUCUGAGCUCGAGACUUUUUGCAAGACCGAUGACGUGGAUUUGAAUUAAAAGGAAGGAAAUUAAUCUUCCACGCAAGGCCAAUUUCUUUCGCUAAAAAUAGAAAAAAAACAAAGAUAUUUUGAUCAUACAUAUUCAUUCCUGUCAUUUAGUUAGUUGUUAAUUAAAUUUGAUUGUAACUCAAUUUUAUCAAAAUACAGCAAUUAACUUUGUUACUAUUGGUGAUGAAGUCAAUUAUAAUAGAAAAAGCGCUAGGAAAGAAUAAUAAAUAAUUAACUUUAUAACUUAAUUCUUUCUUUUUUUUUAAUGUAUGUUUUAAAAGUAGCUUAAAUUUUUCUUUUGAAAUUCAGUCAAAAUUUGAAGCACAUAGGUUAUAAAGAAAACAAUAAUUUUGAAACAUUUAUUUUUUUUUAGAGAUAGAUAGCACGCGACCCGCUUCGUUUAUUUCAUUUAGAAAUAAACUACGCUGAAAAUGUGAAUCAACUAAGAUUCAAACUUGGGUCUCGGGUACCAACCGCCAAGCCCUUUGCCACUUGCUCUAAGGACGGUCGGUAAUUUUGAAACAUUUUUAAUCUCUCUCACAGAGUAUGUAUAUCACGUAUUUAACAAUGCAUCCCACCGAUAGUCCUCAGCGCAAGUGGUAAAGGGUUUGAUAAUUGAUACCCGAGGUCUCAAGUUCGAAUUCUAGUUAAUUUAUAUUUUCAACUAAAUUUAUUUUUAAAAGAAAUGUUGGAAGCGGAUAGCAUGCUAUUUUUCUCUCUCAAAAAAAAAAAAAGAAGAAAGAAACAAUGCACAAUGCACAUCCCACUUGGCUAUUGGUUGACGAGCAAAGUUCUUUAAAACCAAAUUAAAGAAUAUUUCAUACAAAAAAGGAAUCCGCAAAUUAAUUGGCUUAUUAAAACACCUUUACUUCUAUGGUGAUUUUUGGAUCGUAAAUGCAGAUUAAUCAAUUGGCUACAUUUUUUACUUUUGCUAUUAUCAACAUUCAUGAAAACUGCUUUUUGACGCCUUCUCUUUCUCUUGAAAAAUCUGAUCCAUGUACGCAGCAUUUCAUUCGCCAAAACCACUGGUCCAAAAUAUUUAAACCCAGUUAUUAGUAUUAUAAUUUUUCAUUCUUAUAUUUUUAAUUAUAAUUUUUUUUUCUAUUCAAUGUAGGACUAUUGUAACACGUGAAGGUCAGGAUGACAAACUCGAGUUUCAGGUGAGCAACAGUUUUGACUAAAUAUGGAAAUUUCAAUAACCACUCUACUGUGUUGGGAAUAAUAUUUGGUCAAUUCGCUCUUUCGUAUUGUAAGAUCGAAGAUUAUUCGAGUGUUGCUGCGCUCUAGCGGGGAGAAGUCGAAGCAUGACUAGUUUUACUUGUUUCGGCUUUUGUACAGGUAAGCAUUUUCCUAUACUCAAAAUCAAAACAUACUUUAAUGUGCAUUUAUUUAUUAUUUAUGCUGCUCAAAUUAAAUGCUCAGGGUAUUUUUUUGGCUUACAUUUCCAUCUUAAGUUCGAGCUUUGUGCUGUAGCCAAUACCAACCAUAUUCCAGGACAUGAAAUCUGCACCUCGUCCAUUCUUAUUUGUUAAGGUGGAUGGGUUUACUUGUCCAAAGAUCACACAAAUACUCUGCAAUUUGUUGAAAUUCUUUUAAGUGAUCAUAAUUUUUUCUGAUUCUAUGUUAUUGUUUUUGGCAUUAGGCGAAAAGUGGGGGAAAAGAAUAGCUAUGUUACACAAAAAGGAAAAAAUCAUAAUAUCUUGUUGAAUCUAAAGGUGUCCAAAAUAUCCGAUAUCCCAUACCCGAUCCGGACCCUAUCCGGACCCGAACCGGACCCGAUAAAAAAUGAAUAGUAUACGGACAAAAAAAAUUACCCAUUAAAAUUUCGAGUAUAGGUCCGGAUAUUUUAUACCCAUACCCGAUUUGGACCCGACCCGAACCUAACUUUUAAAUGAGUAGGGUCCGGAAUAGUUUUCAAAUCCGGACCCGGACCCAGAUCCGAUGAAAUAUCCGAUAGUAAAUAAAAAAUAAAUAAACUUUUGAAGUUGAAGGAUCAAUUUUAAUAUGACUUAUAGAUGAUGAGUCACUAUGUAUUUUCAUCCUAAUGAAACCUUAGCCGUCUCUUUUACUCAUUACUUUUUUCUAAUUUUUUUACUCUUUGUUUUCUACUCUUUUUUUUCAUUUUAUUUCCGCCAACAAUAUUUUAUUGUCAACAAUAGUUUGUUUAUUGACUAUUUAAUAAAGUUUAUAAAAAAAUAUAUUUAUACGGAUAUCCGUACCCAAUUUAGACCCGAUCCAUAUCCGAUUUUGAACGGAUAGUAUACGGAUAGUCACUACCCAGACCCGCUCAAAUAGACCCGAUGGGUAUAUUAGAAACUUUAGUAUCCAGAUCCGGACCCGACCCGAAGUUAAAUGGGUAGGGUAUAUAUAUUUUUUUGUAACCAUUUCUUUUUAGGGUAUGGAUACAGUAUAUUAAUUACCCAGACCCGACCCGGUCCACGGACAUCUUUAACUUGAAUCAUCUCAGAUACAAGAACUUUGGUAAGUACAGGAGAUAGCCAGUUAGUUCUUUUCCUCAACAAGCUUUUACAAUCCUCUUAUCUUUGAAUUACCACAGUAGAGCCAUACCCCCUUUUCAUUGUCUCAUAAAAUGAAAUUACUCUUCGUUUUGUUGCAUACAUUCUUCCUAGCAUCUAGACUAAUAACUAAAGCAAGAAGCCGAGGAUUGAGAUCCAACUUUUCAACAAUGCCCGCGUUGGUGUCUCAAAUCGAAUCUCCAACCUCUAAGACAACACCUCGGGUAACAAUCACUGGGCUUGUAGAGCUAGAAGAAAUAGUACGACAUACCAUGUACGGCAAUUGGACAGCACUCCGCACAAAUUCACAGCAAGAUUAGGUACCAUAUACUCUGUCCCGGAUAAUUUUCCCUCGUAUAAUAUAUCAACGAAGAAAACAAAGUUACGUUCUUAUGUUGCAACUACUUAUCCAUUACAGCACUAGUUCCAUAAAAAUGUCCUCUUGAUGUCGCAUUGCAAGUGCAUAAAGGAGUAUGGUAGUGGAGAAAAUGAAAAUUAAUUGCAUUAACAUCUUAGCAUGUCAAUUUUCUUUCAACUCUACAAUGACAACAAAUGAAACAAAAAAACAUGCUACUGCAAAGAAGAAGGACAAUACAAAGUGGGAAAAAAGAAUACCUCGAGUGAAGAGAUCAAAGGGAGAACGCCACCCGAACAGCAAGUUUCUGUGGCUUUGCUUUGAUCUCCAACCAAGAAACAAUAUCUUGCGAGGAACUGUCCGAUUAGGUCUAUUUACUAAAGUCUAUUCACUUAAGUUGCAGCCAUGAACGUAAGGGUGAUCGAACUUAAUAAACUUAGUCCAAUACGGCCGGUACUUGGUCAUUGCAAGCUCUAACCAAGGCUUCAUAUUCCCAUUGUAGUGGAUUACAGCAGCAUUGUCAAUCUCCGACCGAUCGAUACUAGGGUUAUAACCCAACCCAAGAACGUGCCAUGAUUUGUCUAGAGGAUGAGUUAAUUUGUAGAAGGUCAAGAGCCCCGGCGGAAGUGUACCAAGUUUCCAGAGAACCCUGUCCUCAUUCUUCAAAGGGAAACAUCAAAAAAGUUAGAUCUCAUUAUAGUUAAAAAAUUAAAAUUCAAAAUCAAGUUUCACAAUAAUUAUAUGCAAGCAACAGUUCGCAUCAGUUGAAACCAAAAAAGAAAGUGCAAAACAACAUAGGUACUAAUUUGGUUACGAAUCAAAAUGCAUAAUAAAACGAAUAUCCAUAAUCAAGUUUAGCAAUUAGUAUAUACAAGUGCAGUGUGCAUCUAUGAAGAAAGAGUAUAACUAAUGGUUUGGUUAUGACUCAAGUGAACAAGGUCACAACUAAGAGCUAAAAAAUUACCGUACAAUGUUUAACACAACAGGUUUAUCUACUGCAAAGAUUCCAAAUAAAGUUUCUUUUCUAGGUCAGGAAUAUACAACAUUUCUAUAACAUGUAUGUCACAGAUAAUUCAAUAAAAUUCGAAUUAACUUACCAUGUUUUGCCACUUGUGGUAAAUACCAGUGAUAUCCUUUAUUUUCCACUCCUUCAAAUCAAAAAUAUUCAUUCCAUAGGCCCAACCACAUGCGUUAGGAUCAAAGUUCCGAGCAAUGUGCGGGUUCGAGAAAUUGAGAUAUUUGUCAAAACGGUGGAAACUCUCACCACAUGUCUCCACCGCACCAUUCACAUUUCCCUUAAGAUCUACAGACCACAAUCCUGUCAAAUCCUUCUGCACAACUAUGUCAUCAUCAAGGAAAAGGAUUUUAUCCAACUUGGGAUAGACCUGUGGGAGAUAGAACCUCAAAUGGUUCAACAUAGAAAGGUAUUUAGGGUUUCGAUAUUUUAGAUUAGAAGAACCAGCUGAGAGAGUCGUAGGAUGAUCAGCCUUAAAAUAAUACUCUUUCAUAGAAGCAGACUCAAGCUGUCGAAGAACUGGGCAAUAGGAAGAGUUCAGCCAUUUGAAUUCAUCCACAUUCUCAACAUGAAUGGUCGCCUUUCCAGGUGGGUUCAAAAGGAACCACAUGUUCAUGGCUCCGAAGUUCAAUUUAUCUGUCACAAGGUGAAAUACAUGCUUCUCCGGCUCCUGUAAUUUAAGCAAAAUGAAUCAGGAAGGGACUUUGACAUAUACAUCCCUGCAAUAUAUUUACUUACACAUAUGCCCCUAUCAAGCCUGAAUUUUAAUAAAUAAUUGUCAAAAGUGCAACUGCUUACAAAACCUGCCCUCAUCUUAAGUAGGGAAGUAAUCCAACUCAUCGGGCGAAGGUCGCUUUGCACUAGAGAAAUUUUCUUAUAGAUGGGUAUUUUAUUAAAUAUAAGGAUAUGCAUAUAAGAAUUCAAGUUUCUCUAAGUACAUGAAAAUUCAGGUUUUGGUUAAUUCUAAUUUGCAGGGAUGUGUGAUAAUGCUUCAGAAUAUAGACUGAUAGAAAGUACAGAAGCUACCUUUGCAUUCAUGAUGGUUGAGUUGACAACAACUGAUGCAGCCAGAACAUUGUCAGAGAAGAGCGCGUAAUGGUAAAGGUCUGGAUUUUCCAAGUUCUCACUCCUCGGAAAUUUCCUUUUCUCUGGAGGGAGGAGGUAAUAAUCUAUUGUUAAGCGCAUUGAUAAGCAGUGAAUCCCAUUGGGAAUCGUCUUUGCAGCCAAUUGACUUAAGAAUGUGCUCUGUUUCUUCAAGCUCCUGACCUGCUCAUCUGCUGACUGAAGCAUUGCUCUUAAUCUCUGGGUUAUUGCUUUGCAAUCGUACAGUUCUUCUCUGGCUUUUGACAAUAGUUGACCCAUUGCUUUGAUUCUCUCAGGGGCACUGCAGAUUAGAUGGAAAACAGUUAAGAUUGAAAAGAUUAUAAGUAGCAUAAGGGUUUUAUUUGGUGAUUAUAGUAUAGGAAUUUGACUUUGAUCCAUCACAAUGUCCCGAUUAUCAUGAUUUUCAACAUACUAUAUUCCACCUACAAGGUGAUGUAUUAUAUUGGUAAAUGUUGAGAUUACCCCUUCCUUACUACUGUAAGGACAAUGUGAAUUAAAUACUUGCCUGUGAUGAAGGUCAGCAUCAGCAUUAGCCUCUCCAACUGCACGCUGGCUUUCCUUGAGCCGAGUCAAUAGUUCUUGGUAAAGGUCAAGUUUGUUCUUCGACUUUGCAAUUACAGAGUAGACCCUCGCCAUGAUCAUUUGGUCCCGCAUUAACCUAACUGUUGAGUCUGAAUUCUCGUUCUCAUUGUCCCGCCUCCAUAUACUGUAUUUCCCAAGUAUUGCAGAAUCCACCACUUUUGAGCGUUCAAUGGCGGCAUUUUCAAGCUUAACUAAUGCUUCAUCAUCCUGUUGAACCAACUCCAUUGCCCUCUUUUCUCGCCUUUUCUCUCUCAAUUUCUACAACAAGAAUAUGAUAAUGUACCAAAACUAAUAGCAAGUGCAUAGAUUAGGCACAACGAUAAACAGAUGUAUGAACCAACAUAUAAAAACCCAUAAAUGGCGGAUUACCACUUAUUGGGCUGAAUCACAAAAAACAAUCAAACUUCUUGUGUAGUUCCAUCUUGAUCCUAACUUUUUCAAAAGUUAUAAUUUAGGUCCCUUACCUUUGCAACGUUGCAAUCUUACCCUUUCAAUUAAUUUCUCCAUAAAACUGGAUAGAGAUAUCCACGUAAUAUUUAUCUGAUUGCCAUCUAAGCAAAUUUUCAACAUCUCAUAUGGCAAUGCAUGGACAUUCCUAUCCAAUUCAACUGAGAAGGACAAUGAAAAGGAUAAGAUUGCAAAAUAAUUUGAAGAUUAGGGGCCCAACUGCAGCUAUCUAAGGAUAGGUUGCAGAUCUGAGACCCCAAAAAAGGGUGGGGAUUCCUGGUGCAAAUUACCCAGUUAUUUUACUCAAUGAUAAUGUUACACACAUUAAAGAUUGAAAAAUCUUGAGAAUGAUUAAAGAAGCAACUUACCCAAUUAUUUUAUUCAAUGAUUAUGUUAUGUACUUUUCAAGGUUCAAAUAUGUUGAGAACGAUUAAAAAGCAUUCUGGAACAUAAUAGAAGAACUCAUGGGCAAGAUAAACAGGCAGAAAUUAAGAAAAAUGAGGGGGUAAUUACCCUUCGAGCUGCAUUUGCAGGUGUAUCAGAAAGCUGUUGUCCAUCUGCAUAUAGAAAACCAUUCAGUUGUUUGCUUAUCUUCCAACCAAAUUAUGCUAAACUAUGCUCAAAAGAAAGCUUCAAGUAUUUCCAUACCAGAAUCAUCAUUAACCUCUUUAUCUGACACAUGCAAGUUACCACCUGCAGCAUUAUCUUCCAAGUUUCCUUUCACAUCCUUGGGUGCAGCAUCUGAUGCUGUUUGAAGAGGCUUCAAGAAGUCAAAGAAGAAAGGCACAUUCUCACAACUAGAUGUCAUGAAAACAUAAGUCUAGGGGGCAAAAAGUAUAUUGUUACCUCUGGCAAAGUUGCAUUAUUUUCAUCAGAAUUGACAUUAGCACCAUUAAGCCCUUCUAUUUUCCAUGAAGAAGAGAUAUGGUUCUUUCUGAAAGAGUCGAGACUCCAUGGCUUCAAUUCAUCUCGACCAGCAGCAAUUGAGUCAAUUAACUGACAACAGAAUGGCAUUAAAUGACAACAAGCAUCAGACAGUUGGUAAUGUCAUCAAGGUUGUAUAUUAAUGGUUAAGUCAGGAAACCGACUCCCAUGCUAGGUGAUUGAAAUUUGCCAACAUUAAAGUGAGCUAAAAUUGCUAUUUACACUUCUCCAUAGUGUGUGUUUAUGUGUACACAGAAAAUAUAUAGUGAAUGACAUGCAUUUAUCCAUCAAUUGUGGUUACUUCUAUGGAUUCUCGCUCUCGGUUCCCGUUAAGAAGAGGCAGAGGCUAAGUUCACAGUUCCCAUUAAGAAGAGGCAGAAGCUACGUUAACCAUAUGUAUGUACAUUUCAUAGCAUAAAUAUCUUUCUGGUUUUGAGGAUGAUCACAUGCAGAUUUUUCUUCUUUUCUCUAUCUUUUUGGGGGGGGGAGGGGAUAUAUGUCAUCUAAACUGCUAGUGAAGCCACAUUCCUACGGCUUAAGUAAACCAGUCUUCAACCCAAGCUGAUCAGUUAUGCAUAGGAAAAUGGAUCAUUCCUAACAAUAUCAUCAGUUAGAAGGUUGACAUUACUGAAAAUUUGAACAGGAUAUGACAUCAUAGAACAUCCGCUAUACCAUACCAUCUUAUUUAAAAGCCCCCAAAGGCAAAUAAUGAACCACAUGUCCAGUGUUUUCUUGCUAGCUUUUGGCAAAGACCUAGGAUAGGCUAUUGGACUGAGGAGAAGUGGAUGUCAUUUCCUCCUCAGCUGCAACAGAAAUUAUUAUAUAAGAUUUUUCCCAAACCAAGCCACGAGAACACCCAAACACCAAUAGUAAACCCACAAUUAAGUAGACAACAAAGGCUAAAUCUGUGAGCACAUAUUUCAUGACUACCACAUAGAAGAAAGUUUGAGAAGAAAACUAAAGAAAAAUUGCCCAGCAAGGAGGUAACCUCUUUAGUAAGCACAGAUUUCAGCUCUUGAAUGGCUGGCUGCUCUCUCCAAUCGAGAACCUGCAAGGCAUUUUUGGAUACAGCAUUAGCAAUAUUAUAAUAAAAAUAAGAUGAACAAAAAUAGGGAAAAAAAUGCAUAGGCUAUUGGGCCCAAAAGAUAGAAAGUAGCUAAGUAUCUUCAUAGGCAGAUGACCUGUUUGCCUGCAGAGUCAGCACUGCCUCUUUCAUCUGCACGAAAGAUAGAAGAUUAGCACAAAUAUCAAUAUAUGACUCAAAUAAUGCAAUUUCUUCCAUGUGAAGAAAUGAAAAUGAUGAAUGGCUAGCUAUUUUGGCAUAUAAACAAUCAUAUUAACCACUACCAGAAAGACUAUUUUGCGAUAAUAUCAUUCCAAGCAUGUUUAAUUCUGCUGCUUAUUUCUUAUGCCCCCAUCGAUAGGCCGACAAAUUAGCCACUACCAGUUCACUUCUGAGCAUAUAAACAAUCAUAUUGACCACACAAGCACCCGUUUGAUAACUAACAACAAUAAUCUAUUGCAAACGCAUUACAUACUCCUUAACUUCUUUCCCGUUAAAAAAAAAAUCGAUGUCAAAGAGUAUGCAAUGCUAGUGUUAUGCUCGUCAAAAACCUAACUUUCCACCAAAAAAACAUUCCAAUAACGCAGCAAACAAACAUAAAACAAUUAACACCGGAUCAUAGAAGAGAGGAACAAGGAUCCCUUCACAGAUCCACCAAACGAAGCAUCAGCAUGAUUCUUAUAGAGCCCAAUCAAUCUCCCCCAACAGAUCCCGAUUCGAAGCCAAUCAAAACACCUAAGCCCUAGAUCAAAGAGUAAAGCAACAAACCGCACGAACAUACCCGGCGAGAUUUGCGUGCGCACCCCAUUCUUCACCACCAGGAAGAGGAAUGGGGCGAGAACGAAGACGAAGAGGAGGAGCACGAGCGGCGGCGCAAACCCCCCGCCGCCGCCGCCGCGGUUCCUCGCGCUCCCCGAUGACGAAGAGACCCGCUUCGGAUGAGGCAUUGGAUUUGGGGGCGAUGGGGAUCGAUCCGAAACCCUAGAUCGCGCGAUAGAGGAGGAGGAGGAGGAGGAGGAGGAGGAGGAGGUGGUGGUGGUGAGAAAAUGGAAGAGUGAGAUCGCGAUAAGCGCGAAAAAAGUUAAAAAAAAAAAAAAAAAAAGUUGGUUUCAAAAUUUACCCGCAGAGAUCGGUGUGAGUGCGACGGUUCUCGGAAUCUCGCUUGCUUACAAAGUGACGAGAAAUGAAACAGGAGAGAUGAGUGAGUGGAUUGGUGGAGAGGGCGAGGAGCGAAGGAGAGGGAUAAGGACUUAAAAAAUAUUAAAAAAAAUAAACUUCAAAUACCACCCCGUAAUUUCGUACACUCUUAUUUUAGUAUCCUAUAAUUUAAAAUGUAUUAAGUUAGUGUCCUAUAUUUUUAUUUUUAUCUUUUCGUUUGCGCUUUCGUUAAUAUUUCGUUAUCUAGGUUUAUUAAUAUUUACUUUAGUACUCUUUAAUUUUAAUUUUAUCAUUGAUUUAACGAAAAAAAUUAUUAGAAUCAAUAAUAAAAAGAUAAAAAUAAAACCACAUAACACUAAAUUGAUACAUUUUAAAUUACAGAGUACUUAAAGUAAGAAAGUGUGAAACCACAUUAGUGGUAUUUGAAGCUUUUUCAAAAAAAAUUAAAUACUAUUUUACCUUUCUUAAAUUUACAAAUAAUUUAUAUAUCGGUCCAAAUUUUAAUCCAAUUUAAAUAUUCCUCUAAAUUUUUAGUAUCUUAAAAAUAAAUAAUAAUUAAAUCUUCGGCAACUUACGUUACAUUUUCUUAUUUAUUCUUAGGAUAGCUAAUAGGUAUGGCUAUUCAAAAUUUUAUUCGAAUUCGAAUUCGAACAGAGCGGAUUUAUUCGAUGCUAAACUGAUAUAAUUUUGGAUACGGAUAUAAAAAAUAAAAAUCCAACGAAUUUAUAUUCGAAUAUGGAUUUUGUCUAUAUCGAGACCGACCGAAUCCAAAUUGAUUUUUCAUUAUAUAAUAUAUUUGAUGUUAUAUUUAAAUUUGUAUUUAAAAAAUUUAGAUUUAAUAUAAUGAGUUAGGUUGGUAUACUAUCGGUAGCACGGAGGCCUCCGUGCUACCAAGUUGUUUUUAAUGAUGCUGCUUCUAAAUCGACGAUCGGCUCAAUUAGACUUGAUCUACACUAUUGAAAAUAUUUGAAAACUAAAUUUCAUAAUUUUUCGGUAUCAUUUACCUAUCAAACGAGUAGUUUAAAAAUGAAUGGCUGAAAAUAAAAAUUUCAUAAAAAAUGAUGAUAGAAAACUUGAAUUUAAGAUCAGAUGUACUGAGCUUACUCUAAAUAGUAAAAGAAAUUUUUUUAUAAAAAUUUCAUCUGAUUUAAAUUGUUUUACACCGUUAAAUUUACAAAUGUAUCACAUCUACUAUUAAAAUUAUCAAUUUUGAGACCUUUUGAUCACUAGCCAAAUGAUGCUGAAAAAUUAUAAAAUUUAGUUUCCAAAUAUCUUUAAAAGUGUAGAUCAAGUCUAACGAAGCCAAUCGUCGAUUUGAAAGCUGCAUCAUUGAAAACAACUUGGUAACACGGAGGUCUCCGUACUACUAAUAGUAUACCAGCCUAGCUCUAAUAUAAUAUGUUUUAAAAUACGUUAAGGAGAAAUAAUUGUUUCAGGUUCCGGUUUUGGUUUUGAAUUUUUUUGUCACGUUCAGACUUGGAUACGAGUUUUUAAAAUCGGACAGAUUCAUAUUGAGGUUCAGUUUUCAUAUUCGUAAUCGGGUUUGGGUUCCUGUUUUUGAAAAAUCCCCCUUAAAUCCCACCUGUCGACGACGUUCCUACUGUCUCUCUGUCCUCUCUUUUCUUUCUUCGCCUAAUUAAAAAAUCACUUUUUUUUUUAAUCCAGAAUCAAAUAAAAAAAAAAAAUUUCUGAGAGAUAUAGGUAACACGCUACUCGCUUCGUUUAUUUCAUUUAAAAAUAAAUCUAUGGGCUGUUUGGCUUCCCGUAAAAUGACCCCAAAAAAGAAUUUUCAGUAAAAAAAUAUAAUUCUAAGCGUCUGUUUGUUCUUAAAAAAAAUUGUUCGAAAUUUUUUUUUUUUCGAAUACAAGGAAAACAGAGGUUUUCGUUUUCCGCUCGCAACGAGCGGAAAACGAAAACGGGUUGGGAGGGGCGGGGUUCAAGGGGGCGCGGUCCACGAGGCGCACCCCACCUCAUGGACCGCGAGAGAGAGGUCCACUGGUUGCGGUGGACCUCUCUUCCCCAUCUUCUUUUUUAUAUAUAUAUAAUAUAUAUAAUAUAUAUAAAUAUAUAUAUAUAUAUAUAUUUAAAAAAUAAUAUUUUAUUUAUAACUAUAUUUAUUAUAUAAUAUUUUAUAUGUAGUAAUUUAUUACUAUUAUAUAUUAUAUUAUAUAUUUAAUUAUUGCAUAAUAUAUUUUAAAUAUAUUUUAUAAAUAUAAACUAUAUUUCUUAUUAUUUAUAUAAUGUUGUAAUAAUUAUAUAUUAAUAAUAUAAAAUAUGUAAAAUAAAAAAAAUAUAUAAUAAUUUUUAUUUAUAAUUUUUUUUCUUUCAACUAAACAACCGUCUCGAAAAAAUACUUUUCUUUUCCUACGAACCAAACAUAAACAACGUAAAACAUUUUUUCCACUAAAAAUUUUUUUUUCACGGAAAAUUUUUUUUCCACAGUUUUACGUGGAACCAAACACACCUUUAGCUGAAAAUAUGAAUCAACUAAGAUUCAAACUUGGGAUCUCGGAUACCAACCACCAAGCCCUUUACCACUUGCUCUAGGGACGGUUGGUGAAUCAAAUAAAAAUCAAAUAUGUAAUUUGGUAGGAGAUGCUCUUCUUGACUGGGACUAGUUUCUCUGAUUUGUUGGAUCGGAAGCUAAAGAAAAUUUAACCAAAAUUGAUGAAAAUAUAGAUGAAAAUUUAACCAAAAUUUGAAAAGAUAUAAAAGUUAAUUUGAAAUUUAAAAGAAUAUAUAAGUUAUUUUGUACUGGUAUUUUGUCCGAUAGAAAAAUUGAGGGAUAAAUUGGGAAAGAAAAACAAAAGCAAUGCUACUCAUACAUCUGAUUUCCACUACUCGCAUCAUAACCAGCAGAGUCAUUAAAUUGCGUGGAAAUAAAUUUGAUGAAAUUUUUAUUUUUUAUUUACUAAAAUUAUUUGUUUAAAAUUACUUAACAUUUUUAAAAAUAGUUUAAAAUUACUUUAACUUUAUUUAAUAAAUAAAAGUUAAGACAACGUCAAUAAAAAAAAAAAAAAAAUGUUGAGACAUAUUGCGGUUAAUUUUGGGCACAUUGCAAUUAGUCGAUUACAAUAUAUUUUUUACCAUUCCAUCGGAGAACGCAGAAGAAGAAUAUCUCUGUAUAAUUUUUCUCAACUCCAUUCUAUCUAAUAGCGUUAGAUAAAAUUCAAUACCAAACUAAGCCUACGAAGACUAAAUGCGAAAAAAAGUCCUACAAAAAUUUGUCUAUUGAUAUUUUUUUUAAAAGAAAUAUAUUAUGCAGAAGUUAAAAAUUACUAUUUUUUACAUGUAUAUUUUUAUAUCCAUGCACUACAUCGUGUCAACUAUUCAGCCGAUCAUCCUAUUUCAUACUUUAAUAUUUAUCAUUUCUGAUAAAUAUUUAUUUUUUAAAGUUAAAAAUCAAAGCAAGCAGAUAUUAAUUAAUUAGAUGUAGGAGAUUGUGAAUAAAUCAAAAAAAAUUAUUGUUCAAAUUAUGAUAAAAAUAAAAGAAUAAAUAAAUAAAAUUAGAGUUUGAGCAUCACUUGAUUUGACAGGUGAUGACUUUUUAAGACAGGAAGUGUAAACAAAGAAGAAAAAACAUUGAAAGGUGUUAGAGAGAGUUGUUGGAAUUAGGUGAUUUAAUGUUGAAAUAAUCAAUGAAAAUGAAGCAAAGUCAUUUUCAUUAAAAUUUGAGUUGACAAAAAAAAAAAUAAUUAAUUAACUUCCAAGAAAUUCAACUUUAAAGCAUUAAAUUUCCAUUCCAAUUUCACUGUUUUUCAAAAACAACCAUCCCAAACAAUAAAUCCUCUUUGACAAAAUAACUAUUUUUAAAAAAUUUUUAUUUACUAUUUUAUAAGAUAACUGUAAUUACAACGAAAAAUACUAUUCUAACGCUAAAUUUUUAUCCAGCUAAAUCAGCAUCGAACCAUCGCAUCUAAUUUUUAUUCACAUGUGUCUAAUUAUAGUUUCUUAAACAUAUGCACUGAACUGUAUGUUGACAUAGCAAAAUUCAAUCAUAAUUAAGCUUAAAAACUAGACAAGAUAGGCAUUAAACUAUUUAAGGACAAUAAAUCUAUUAUCUAUUAUCUAUUAUCUAUUAUUUAUUGCUAUUCAUUAUUUCUUGCCACAUGACAUUCUCUUCAAUAUUGUUGGUUGUGGGCUCCGCCGACUUCUUUUCCUUUACUUGAACCGAACCGGGUUGUCAAGUAUGAGUGCUAUCCUGAACCGACUCAAGUAGGGAUGUCAAUGGAUAUGAAUAUUCGAAAUUUUAUCCGAACCCGAAUCCGAAUGAAAUGGAUAUAUCCGAUGGAUAUGGAUAUGAAUUUGGAUAUGGAUAUAAAAAAUAAAAACCCGACGGAUAUGGAUUCGAAUAUGGAUUUUGAUUGUACCCGAACCCGAACCCGAACCCGACCCGAACCCGACCCGAACCCGAAUUUAUUUUGUAUUAUAUAUAAUAUAUAUAUAAAAAUUUGAUGUUAUAUUUGAAUUUGUAUUUUAAAAAUUUAAAUUUAAUAUAAUAUAUUUUGAAAUAUUGAAAAAAGAAAUAAUUGUUUCGGGUUCAAAUUUUCGGGUUCGGGUUCGGGUUCGGGUUCGGUUUUGGGUUUCAGAUUUUUGGUCGAGUUCGGAUUUGGAUAUGAAUUUUUAAAAUCCGUCGGGUUCGGGUUCGGAUUCGGGUCUCGGGUUUGGAGUCGGGUUCGGGUUCGGGUUUUUAAAAAUCCGCCCCGAAUCCGACCCGUUGACAUUUCUAGACUCAAGUCCUCCAAAUAAUCACCUUUCUUUACUUGAACCAAACAUGGUUUCCCUCUGUCUUUACUUACAUCAGACCGAGUAAUAUUGUUUCAUUGGGCUGAACCAAAUCAAUUGCUUUAUACGUUUUCAUUUUUGAACCGUAUUUUUCUUUUAAUUGUUUGAACAGAAUCGAUUAUAAUUGAAUAAGGCCUCGACCCUGAACUGGCUUAAGUUUCUUUUUUUUUUUUUGCCUGAGCCAAACCGGUGCCCUCUUUUUUGGCUUGAACUGGCCUGCUUUAUUAGACCGAGCCAGACCAAUUGAUUCAUACUUUCCAUCUUUCAAUCGGUUUUUUUGUUGAGCGAGGGCUUCACGUUGAAUGAUUUUAUUAAUUUGUAUAAGCACAAUACUCUAAACCGAACUCGCCCAUUUUUUCUUCUAAAUUAUUUUAUUAUCUUAAUAGUUUGCGAAUAAAAUUAUUAAGUUUCAACUACCAAUAAUAUUUUACUUUGAACGUGAACUGCGAACACUUUAUAAUUAUAUAUUCUCAAUAAUAUAAUUUUUGUCAAAUAUUAUUCUAUCUGUGAACAAAAAAAAUAUUUUUUUCUCCUUUUCUUUUACUUCUCUAUAUUGAAUUUUUUCUUGAAUACUAAUUCUGAAAUUUAUUUAGCAGUGAAAAAAAAAUAUAUUUUUAAGUAAUGACAAUUUAUUAAUAUUGUAUUAUUUAACUAAAAAUAUACUUUCUAAUAUUAAUUAUAAAUUAAAUAUAAUAUUAACUACUCAUCCCAUUGCGCGGAUACCUUAACUAGUUAAUUAAAAAGACAAAAGAUAACCUCUUCAUUUCAUAGCUGAAAAAUGACCCCAAAGAAAAAACUUCUUCAUGGGGGGGUUUUUCUAAUAGAAAACAAUAUUUUAUAGGAGAAAAUUUAAGAUUGAAUUUUCCAUUGGGCAAGUUUUGUCCUGUUAGGAACUUAGGAUAUGAGUGAUGUAUCUGAUCAGGUUGUGUCUUUAUAGGAAAGUUGACAAAUUUUACUUUUUAUUUUUUUUAAUUAUAUUAAAAAGCAUGCAAAACAAAUUUCCUGGUAGAGUGAAAUUAGUGCUAUAUAGAGAAAAAAAAAAUUUAUUUUUUUAUUUAAUAUUACUCUCUCUUAGUUUGAACUGUACUCUUGCUAAAACGCAUGCAUGUGACCAAACAGCGAAUUGAAUUUGCAUAUAAUUACAACUGUAGCGUCGUUAUAACUACGUGCAACCAAAUAUUUUCUUAUAAAAUAUAAGUUUUAAUUUAAAAUCUUAAAUCACAUAUUAAAUAGAGUAAACACGUCGUGAGAAGAUGAGUGUAUUUAAAUGAAUAUAUAAAUAAAUACAUAUAUAUAUAUAUAUAUAUAUAUAUAUAUAUAUAGUGCAGCUAGGGUGCUUUCGGAAGCACGGAGGGCUCCGUGCUUCCACUUUGUUUUCGAUGUUCGGACUUUUGAAUCGACGAUCGGCUCCGUUAGACUUGAUCUAGAGUAUUUGAAGUAUCUAGAAAAUAAAUUUUGCGAUUUUUCGAUAUCAUUUGCCUAGUGAUCGAAGUGGCUCAAAAUCAACGGCUGAAAAUAAAAAUCUUAUAAAAUAUGAUGAUAUGACAUUAAAAUUUUAGAUCAAAGUUAUUGAUCUUGUUUUAUAUGGUAUAAAGAAUUUUCUAUCAAAAUUUCACGUGAUUUGGAUAUUUUUACACCGUUAAACUUGCAACCGGCUCACCAUGGCCGUUAAAAUUAUUGAUUUUGAGCCCCUUCGAUCAUUAGGCAAAUGAUAUCGAAAAAUCGCAAAAUUUAUUUUCUAGAUACUUCAAAUACUCUAGAUCAACUCUAACGGAGCCGAUCGUCGAUUCGAAAGUCCGAACAUCAAAAACAAAGUGGAAGCACGGAGGCCUCCGUGCUUCCAAAAGCAUACCAGCACAACUCUAUAUAUAUAUAUAUAAUAUAUAUAUAUAAAAGUGAAAAAGAGAUUCUUCAAGCGUCUUCUUACUCAAGAUGGAAGGCGAAAGAAACAUUCGAUGCAAAUUUCUUGCAACCAAAUUGGUAUGCAAAAUUUCCAUGCGAAAAACAAGAUUCGAUGGUCAACAGAAAAUUUGGACCCAGAUGCUAAGAUUCAGUUCAUCUUUCCAUGGAGGGCUGUUUGAUUUUUGGAAUCUAAAACUCAAGAUUAACAACCAAUUAAAUUUAAAAUUAAAUUCAAAACUAAAAUUCUAUAUAUAUGUGUGUCAUUUUGCUCGCUAUUUGGAUGACUCGGAUAUAUAUAUUUGGCUACUAAUAAACAAUAAAAUAAUCUUCUGAGUAAAUUUGUAAAAAUUCUGCUCGCACGACUAUAAAGAAACUUCCACAUCUAUAUUAGAUCGAUAUUACGGUUAAAUAGCCUUUUAGAAUGUGAACUAUCACUGGUGCCCUUAUUAUACGUCAAGGAACGUUUAUGACUUGUGGUUUAGAGGUUUAUUUGUGAUGGAUUUAUUUAUCUAAAAUGGUAUGAACGAUAAAUUUAUAUGUUUGGGCUUUGGAGGGUUGUAAAUGAUAUUUUAAAUUUUGCAGAGGCAUUGCAUAAUAGUUUGAAGUCUCCGUAGAAGUUUACAUUUAAAAAUGUAGUAAUAUUAAGGCUGCAACUUUUUGGGUUCUAAUUUUACAACCCCUCACCGACCGUUCCUAAAGCAAGUGCCAAAGGGCUUGGUGGUUGAUACCCGAGACCCAAGUUCGAAUUCUAGUUAAUUCACAUUUCCAGCUAAGUUUAUUUCUAAAUAAAAUAAACGAAGCGGGUAGCGUGUUACCUAUCUCUCAAAAAAAAACAAAAAAAAAAAAAAUUUACAACCCCUCUCAUUCAAAGUCAUUCUUUUUUCUACUCAUCUUAUUAUUUUAUUUUUUCUAACUAAAUUUUUUUUAAAAAUGUAAAUUUUAUAACUUUUUCCAUAAGAAAUUGUACAAUUUCUUUGGAUCGUAGACUUAGUGUUUUUUAUAUUAUAAAUUAUAGAAAAUUUUUCUAUAAAUAUUCUCUUUUUUUUUUACUUUUUUCCCAUGACUUCAAAAACCUACAUUUUUACCCUCUUAAAAUUUUAAAAAUAUUUUCAGAAAAGUGCGGUGCCAAUGGAAAGGGGAAAAUGACCAAAUUAUUCUUACUUCUUUUUAAGAAAAAAAAAUGUUAAUAUAUUGCUGUUAUUUUGAAGGAUAUUUUUAGUAUAAAUUAUAAGAAAUUGACGGAAUAGUGAUGGAAUCCUCAUGGAAGAGACUAAAUGCAACAAAUUGAAAUAUUGAGAGACUGAGCUAUAGAUUUUUAAAAAUUAAAAAAAUAAAAUAAAUUUAUAAGAAAUUUUUUUGUAAUUUAAUCUAUAAUAAAUAUUAGGAUUAGUUUCAUACAGGUUCUUGCAAAUAUAGUGAAUGGCAAAUAUAUUCCUACAAAGUUCGAUUUUCAUAUGUUAUUUCUACAAAAGUUCUAAUGUUUUCAAAAAUAUCCCUCUGCUUUGUUACUGGUAGAGAACCGUUAGAGAAUUAUUUAUAUUUUUAAUUUUGCCAUCACAAAUAUAUCUCUCUAAAAAGUAUAACAGUAUAAUAUAAAAGGGGUAAAAAUAUCAAAAACUAACUUGGAUUAAGUAUUUAACCUAUAGUUAACUAAUUUUUCUAACGGAUUCUAACGACAGAGUCAUAUUUAAAAAUAUCAGAACUUUUACAGAAAAACAUAUGAAAGUUAAAUUUUAUAAAAAUAUAUUCGUUAUUCAUUAUAUUUGUAGGAAUCUGUAUAAAAUUAAGGGAAAACUUCAAAAAACCUCUCUGUGGUUUCGUAGUUUCUCACUUUGCCCCCCUGUGGUUUAAAAUGUAUCAAAUUACCCCCCUGUGGUUUCGUUUUUAUCUUUUCGGUAACUUUUUCGUUAAUAUUUCAUUAAAUUAUAUACAAAAAACUUCAGAUACCCAUCUAGAUUUAUCAAAUAUUCACUUUAGUACCCUUUAAUUUUAACUUUAUUACUGAUUUAAGAAAAAAAAAUAAUGAAAUUGAUAAGAAAAAGAGAAAAAAAAAUCACAGACGGACAAAUUGAUACAUUUUAAACCACAGGGGGACAAAGUAAGAAACUACGAAACCAUAGGGAGAGUUUUUGAAGUUUUUCCUAAAAUUAACCCUAAAUUUUAUUUUAUUCUGAUAGCCAAGCGAAAGUGAAAGAGGAAAUUAAGGUGGAACAUACGUGGUAUCUUCUCCCUCCACCUAACUAUACUUUGACCGUAUGUACGUAGAUCACCUACUAAGGACAAGUACUCUUUUUUUAGAUUCUGUGCCGUAUACUCCACAGUACCGUAUACUUGUAACUCGAUCCACAGUGUAACCACUCUCUUCACAAGCAACUACUACAUUAAUGCAUUAUCCUCUCAAUUAUCCUCCAAACCCUUCCUUUUUUUUUUAUUUUUCUUUUCCUACGUCAAUAAUCGUGCAAGUACUUCACACGUAUAUAGCAUUCUGAUCUAACACAUGAUGCAUGAUCUAUAGCAUCCUAUGGGUUUUUUUCCUUUUUUUUUUGUGGGGUUAAUUUUAAACACAUUUUCUGUAAAGAUAUCAAUUCAUUUAUAUAUGUCAUUACCGUUCAAUUUAUCGUUAGGUUUUUUUUUUAACGGUAGAUGCGUAAAAUGGCUAUUUUGUUCUUACAAAUUUAUUCUUAUAAAAAAAUAUCUUUCUUUUCCUCUCUUUUCUCACUUUCGCUGUGACAAGUGUUUCUCAUUUUUGUCGCGAUCGAGGGCAUCGCCUUCGACAUCACCGCAAUCAUAGGUCUCGUCGUCGCGAUAGAUAAAGAGUAAAAAGUGAGAAAGAUGACGAGACUUAACAUUAGAAUACAAAUUAUCUUUCUUUUCUUUUUUUUUUUUUUUACAUUUACAUUUCUCCAAUAAUUUAAUUUCUAACAAGUUCUUAUAAAACUUUGUGUAGGAUAGAUACCGAUUUACAAUUUUUAAAUUAAUUUAAUUAUUAAAAUGCUUUUAUUUAAUUUAAUUAAUAAUCAGACUAAUAAAAUUGUCUAAAAUUAUAAAAAAAAAACAAAGUUUUAUUACUAAAAUACUACAAAUCCGCAAUAUUUUUUUUUCCAUCCUUCAAAAGCUUAUUUUUAUUAUAUAUUAUUAAUGUAUGUUGACAUAAAUUAUAGGAUUGAUUGCAUGCACCAUUGACCUCUAACAAUUGUUAUUUUUUAACUUUUGUCUCUAACUUUUUUUUUUCAUUAUUAAAUCUGUAACCUUUGUGUUUUUAUUUUAGUGAGGUCUCGACUAUUUAAAUUCGCGUUAAUUUUGAUAAAAUAGGCAACAUCAACAUCGAAAAAAAAAUGUUGCAUUCUCAUAAAAACUACAAUCACGAUUAAGUAGCCUCUCAUUAUUUUCGGAUCAGUUUUUAAUUAAAAUUUUUGAAAGAGUUUGAUGACAUGCACAAUUCAAUAGUAAGAAUGCAGAAUACUAAAAAGAACAGCAAGCAUUGUGUGUGAGGUCGAAGCAGUCAUAGACAGCAGAAAAUGAUAUUCUUAGUGGUGAAAUUGGGCGUGAGGUGAUGGGCACGCCGAAGAGUGAAGAGGUUAGGGACAAAAUUGAAAAAAAAAAAAUGAAUAAAAUUUAGAAACUAAUAAUGUAAUUAAUUCUAAAAGUUAAUUAAAAUUUGAUUGGCAAAAGACCAAAAUUCGGGGGCAGAAUAUUUAGGUACAAAUUGGGGACCAAUCAUGCAAUUAACCACCAACAAUGUGGAAUCCUUAACAAAGCAUUUCUUAUUUGUUCCAGAAAUCUUUUGUCCAAUGCGGAAGCUUCUAAGCAUAAUGCAGAAGCUUCUUCUAAACAUUCAAAUAUUCGCGAAUCAUUUGCUCUACAAAAUUUCACUCUUUCGUUGUCUUAAUUUUCAAUUAAUUGGUAGUUUAGUCAAGAAGAAAAAAUGUUCAAAAACAGAGAAAAAACAGAGCAAAACAGAGUAUUGGAACUAACUGUGGAAUUUGAUGUGUACUAUCAAUCGCUUCUGUUUUGUAUUUACAUAUUAUUUCAGGACGUAGAUUAUAAAAUAACAAUUAAAAUGAUAUAGGCUAAUUUGCAUAAGAAAUUCACGAGUUUUGAGCUUUAGUAAAACUGGAUCGUUUUUUUUGAUUUUGUAAAUUCGGACCGAAUUUUCAGAAAACUAAUUAAAAUAUUCUUAUUCUUUUCUCUUUCUCAGUUUUCUGAAAAUUCGAUCCGAAUCUAUAAAAUCGAAAAAAACAGUCUAAUUUUGCAAAAACUGAAAACUUGUGAAUUUUUUAUGCAAAUUGACCAAUGAUACAUUAUACUGUUGCAUGAUUAAUAAAAUGUUUGAUAUUACCAUUCCAAUUAAUGAAAGAUCUUUUAAAUAGAAUAAUAAAAUAUAAAGGAAAAACUUCAAAAACCCUCAUUGUGGUUUCAAUUUUUUUCACUUUAGUACCCUGUGGUUUAAAGUGUAUCAAGUUAGUAUCUUGUGGUUUCUCACUUUAUUACUUUAGUAUCCUGUGGUUUUAAGUGUAUCAAGUUAGUACCCUGUGGUUUUGCACUUUAUCACUUUAGUACCAUGUGGUUUUAAUUUUGUAUCAAAUUAAUACCCUAUAGUUUUUUAAACUAUAGAGUACUAAAGUGAUAAAGUGCAAAACCACAGGGUACUAAAGUGAUAAAGUGCAAAACCAUAGGGUACUAACUUGAUACACUUUAAACCACAGAAUACUAAAGUAAUAAAGUGAAAAACCACAAGAUACUAACUUGAUACACUUUAAACCACAGAAUACUAAAGUAAUAAAGUGAAAAACCACAAGAUACUAACUUGAUACACUUUAAACUAUAGGGUAUUAAAAUGAAAAAAGUGUGAAACCACAAUAGGAGUUUUGAAGUUUUCCCAAAUAUAAAUUUAUGCACUAAUAAAUGCAAGUUUUUAAACUAUCCAAAUGGUAAAGUAAAAGUACACUAAACCAGCAUUUUUGCCCCUAUGUACACACACCUGUACAAUCUAACCAUCCAAUUCAAAGAAUCAAUCUAUGUGUCAUUUUUUCCAUUUUCAUCCCCUUUUUUGCUUUGUUUUAUUUUUUUUCUUUCUCUUUUUCCUGCAUUAAACCAUUUUGCUGCCAAUUCUGUGAUCUCAUUGCUGCUGCUGCAGCUCUUGCCCCGCGGCGGCGGCGGCGGCGGCGGCGGCUUCUGCGUCUUGCGGGCAGUUGUCGUGGAGAUUGUGCGGCCACGGGAUGAGGCUGUAGGGGGGGAAGCAGCAGUUGCACUCCGCCGGGCACGGCCGCGGCUGAUCCACAGCGGCGUCGCUGUUGCCGCCGCCGCCGCCGCGCUGCCCGACCGAUGAUGCCUCCCGGAGCGGGCCCCAGCACUCAACCCGGUUGAACUCCGGCAGGUUGGAGUGGAAGUACACCCACACCGUCGCCUCCUCCAAUUCCGGAUGGUUUCUUAAUAGAUCCUUAUCCCCGUGAACGAACGCCUUCAGCACCUGCCACAAAGAGUAACGGAUCUUAAAUUAUACGAAACAACCAUUUAUGGGUCGCCAAAUAGUUUAAACUAUUAGAUAUUAAUAUCCGUUUUGUACUUUAAAAGAUCUAAAAUUUUAAAAGUACUUUUAGAAUUUUCCUUUUUUCAAUAGCAUAAAGUUAUGACAACAACCAUAUACUUUUUUUAGUACCAACUGCAAUUAUAAUUUUGUAAUAUUGAAAGAAAUACAAUAAAAAACAGUUCGAAGGAGAUGCAGAAAUAAUAUAAAUUAAUUAAUAAAAAAUUUUCAAAUAUUAUUCAUAAGAUCUCGCUUUUUUAUUUUAGUAUCAUAUAAUUUAAAGCGUAUCAAUUUAGUAUCCAUUGAUAUAUUUUAAAUCAUAUGAUACUAAAAUAAAAAAAUACGAAAUUAUAGAAAUGGUAUUUGAAGUAUUUUUUUAAUUAAUUAACAGCACGGUGGGGGAUGUAAGGACGGAAUGGUGAAAUUGAGCAUACGACGGGGAGUUCUUUGCGAAAGAUGUAGUAGCGGAGGCUGGCGAUGAGAUCGAGGAGGAAGUGGCCGCCGCUGAUGUGGCAGUGGACGUGGAGCGACAUCUUACCCUGCACCUUCUUCCACUCCGCCACCACCUCGUCCCUCUGCAGCUUAUUAUACCACCCCUGCAACUAUUUUUUUUUUUUUGUUGGGAAAAAAAAACAAACAAAAAAUUAAUUAUAUAUAUAUAUAUAUUCAUGAUUAAUUAAUUUAGGCCUUGUUUAGCAUUAUUAUUUUUACUUUGACUUUUUAUAAUAAUAAAAAAAUAAAAAUAAAAAUAAAAAUAAUUUGUUUUAUUGUUCAAUUAUUCUUUUCAACAAUUGUCACUCCUCGAUUGGCGGAUGACAACCAAUGAAAAAAAAAAGGGAAUAAAUUAUUAUUAUUAUUAUUAUAUCAAAUCGAUGAUGUGGAAAAGGGCCUCUGAUUUUCUUUUUUUCUUUUUUUUUUACUUUCAGUUUCUUGUUUUAUUAUGUACCUGAGCGCGAUUAAUGGUGUGGGAGAUGGCGAGGGUGAGCUUGGACGUGAUGUCGCUGUGCGUGAGCGUGUAAGCCCUCGGGAGCUUCUCCGGGUGCUUCUCCCCGUCCACUCCGAGGAACAGCACUUUCAGCUUCGAAGAUUCGAAAAUCGCUGGCCCAAAAAGCCUCGCCACCUAUCGAAUCGAGAUUUCAGAUACAACCAACAACAAAAAGAGAAAAAAGCGAUAAGAAAAUUUGUUUACUUACGGGGACGAUGGAGCGCUUCAAUUUUCCGCCGCUGCUGCGGCGGCGGCGGCUGCGGAGGCAGAGCAGAUCCUUUCUCUUAAGAUCGAGAGAAGAAGAAGAAGAAGAAGAGUAUAAGUGAGGGUGGGGGAGCAGCAGAGCACCUGGGGAGGAGCCCAUCUUGAGUAACGAAGUAUGAGUAGAAGCAGAGGAUAAGUAUGAUGAUGAUGAUGAUGUGGAGGGAGAGUGCAUGCGUUGUGAGGCGAAAUUAAUUAAUUAGUGUUCAAAAUGAACAGGGAGGGAUAGACACGGCUCCUCCUCUUUCUACUCUUCUUCUUGUUCUUAUUUUUUUCUUUUUUAGGAAUUUAUUUUGAUUCUUCGUUUUUUGGAAGUAUAAAAAACAGGGAGGUUACUUGCGGAGGCGGGGAACCUUCUUCAUCCGCUCCGAGUUCUUGGGGUUAGGGAGAAGAAUUAGGAGGAGGAGGAGACGUGUGGGGAUGGAAAACGCACGUCGUGAGCGGACUCCGUGGGAUGCUUUGAAGCAAUCUUUACAGUUUUUGUCCGCUUUUGAAAAUUUGCAACUUUGAAAGCUUUCUCAGAAAAACGACCUUUACCCUCUAGAGCGCACUGUUAGGGGCUCAACGUAAUUGCUAUGCAAUUUAAGUUUUUUGCCCAACUUUGCUAGUGGAGUGGAUCGUUAAACAGAUCCGAAUCCAACUUGUUGUGGAGAAAUGAAGGGUUUUAUAAUUUUUUCCAUCAAUGAUGAAAACUCAAGGAUUAUAAAACUCCCGAGAGUUAAUAGGAUGAUUCUUGGACUUAUGGCUCAUUAUAAGGGUGAGAUAGCGGGUGUGUUGAGUGGCUAUGUUCACUGUAUCCAUAGGUCUAUAAAUAGUAUGUAUGUGUGUUGUAAUAUUUUUUUCUAAGUAGUGGAGUACUUAGUUUUUUUAAGUGAAUCCCUAUCUCUCUCUCUUUGUAAUUUCCUUUGCAUACUUAGUCAUAGGACGCGAAGGUCCGGACUAAUAAUAGAGACGAAGGUUUGCCCAUCUUCGAGCAGGAAGGCGGGCGCCACACGGACUUUGCGAACAAAACCGCUAAGGCCGUGACAGCAUGCUUAGCAGCGAAUAAAAAUUAUAAAAAUAAUUAAUAAUAAAAUAAUAUUAAAUAUUUUUUUGUGUUUUUUUUUGUUAUGGUCACGAAAGGUGCCUCACUAUCGGUAGCAGAGAUGGAAUCAACGACGCCUUCUCGGCGACGAUGAUAGUGAAAAUAACGACGAUCCCUUUGGCCGCAACAGAGAGGAGACAUAAGCGCACAUUAAUGAGAGGGGGGGAGGGAGGGAGGCAACAGUGUAUACAAAAAGAUGAGAGAGAGAGAAUUGAUAAAUUAAUUGGAGAUAAAAAAUCUGGUAGAAAAAAAGUUUGGUACUGAAAAUAUUUAGAUGUAUUAAUUAAAUAUAUUAAUUAAAAGUUUCAGGAAAAGAAAAUGGUCAAAUGCAGUAAAGGACAACUUAUCAUUGAAAGUUUGGUAAUAAUAACGUUUAUAUGUUUUAAUUAAAUAUAUUAAUUAAAAGUUUGAUGAAGGGAAUGAAAAAGAUUAAAUGAUGGUAAAGGUGAAGGACAACUUGCCACGUAGCAAAAAACAUCGGGCAUUUAUAUAAGUUAAUUAAUAGACAUUACACUUUUGGUCCUCAAAUUACAAGAAAUUCUGUUUGCAUUUAUUUAUUUAUUUAUUUAUUUAUUUGCAUAUGUAAUGCCUCACUUUACAAAGACUUACCUAAUUCUAAACUAUCCAACUUUUGGAUUUAAUAAUUAGUAACAACGAUCCAAUAAGUAGUAUAAGAGUCAAGGAUUAUUGGUUCGAUUUUUAUAUGCUGCGAAUUUGUGGUGGGAGGGAACAGAGGAUUGUUGGCUUAAAGAGGCCAGCGUCCCGCCCUGAAAUAAGGGGUUAGGUUGGGCCAAGUCACGUUCGAAAUGAUGGUGGUUUGAGUUGGGCCAUGUUCAAAGUGGUGUAAGGGUUGUUAGGACGAGUCACAAUCAAAAUAUCUAGCCAUUGUGUCUGAACGCUUUAAGUAAAUUAGUUGUGUAUUUCUAAUGGCUUAAGCUUCUGAGAUUAGUGGUUAGCGCUAACGAUCCGAUACCUUAACCUUUUUAGCCGGAUUAAGAGAUUUUAAUUUUAUUAUAUACCCCGCACCUAUAUAUAUAUAUAUAUAUAUAUAUAUAUAGAGAGAGAGAGAGAGAGAGAGAGAGAGAGAGAGAGAGAGAGAGAGAGUCCGGCUGAGAUACUAUCGAUAGCACGAAGCAUUUAGUGCUAUCAAGUUUUUUGCAGUUAGAUUAUACUAAAUUGUCAUAUCAUACAUCCCAAUUUAGGGUUCACAAAAUUCAAUCAAUUUUUACUAUGCAAGAUCCUACUUAUGCAUUCUAAAAAAAAGUUGUAAAUUUUACACCCUCCAUCAGAAAGUGCACGAAAAUCUAAAAAGGUUAUAAUAAAAUUUUCAAAAAAAUAUUGUAACAAGUAGGAAAAUAAUAGUCCUAGAAUGAAAAGAGUGUAAAGUGUACUAGUAGAAGAGCUCUUGCAGUAUUGCCAAAAAAAAACAAAAAAAAAAAAAGGACAAGGAGCCUCACUUAGCCUUUGGAUGAGAAGGUGCAAGAUAUACACUCUUUUCGACUAUACAGAUAGCAAAGCUCUCAAACCAGAAAGUAAGAAUGAUACUUUAAAUAUCCUAUACUUGAUCCAUCCAAUAAGUGAAAGUUUUUUACUAGUAACCUUACAUGAUUGGUAAACCCACCCAUAACUUUGAUGGAUUGGCUGUAUAAUAUACACUUCGAUUGGAAUGUAUAAAUAGAUAUUUCUGAUUUUAAAUUUAAGAAAUGCUCUCUAUGCACUCUAAAAAGUAUGUCUUACAUCUUUCAAUCCUAGCUAGAGUUUAGAAAACUCAUUAGGUUUAGCAUUUUUUCUAAAAAAAAUGAGACAAAAUAAGUGCCAAUUCUUAGACUUUGGAUGAGAGAAUGUAAGAUGUACACUUCCUUUUAAGGUGUAUAGAUAGCAAUGCCACUACAACAGAAUUAGGUUAUAGGGAUACAUAUUUGGGACACUUUUGAGUAAGUGUCUCAUUUAUGCUAAAACUUACAAAAACAUCUACUAAUGCCUAAAUAUAAAGCCCAAUCCAACCAAAAAUAAAAGAUUACUCUACUCAACCCACCACACCCAGUCUAUUUGGCCCGAUUACAAACAGAAAAGAAAAAAAAAGAAAAAUCAAUUACCAUAUUUUCUUCUCUCUUCACUCAAUCUACUGAAAUUCUAGACGAAGAGUCUUUCCUGUCGUCCUCCUUCGCCACCGCAGCCAACGAGAUAGAGUUUCGACGGUUGCUAAAUGCUUAAAUAAGUGUUGGUAAAUUAGUAGUACUCUUUUAGGUUAUAGCGACACUCUUUAACUGUCACUAUACACCUAGCGACCCCACAUAUAGCAACACUUUUUAAAAGUGUCGAUAAUUUUAGCUAGCAGCAGUUUUUUGAUAUGUACCUACAUUUAAAAGUAUCGCUAUAGACCGUUUUUGUUGUAGUGUGCUCUCUAAAUUUAGGACUAGUUUCUUCCAUGCUCUCCAAAAAGGUUAUAAUUCAUAGAUACCCUUCUAAAUUGGAAAAUAAUAUAAGUAUCCUCGUUUAUAUAAGAGGGCUUAGGUUUUACAGGUAUUGGUGAUAAAAUACUUUAGUUUCAGAGUAUUGGUGAUAGUUUAGUGUGGUAAGAGGUGUAUUGGUGGGUAUUAGUGAUAUUUUCAACUUUGGAGGGUUUAUCUAUAAUAUUUUAAAGUUUAAAGAAAGUUUGAAAUUGUCCCUUUAAUUUAUUAUAAUUUCUCACUCGAAUGUUUUAAAUUAUUGUAAUUUAGUUCUCAAAUUUUAAUUUAGUUGACUAAAACACUGAUUUAUUACUAAUGUAAAAGUGACAUGAUAUUUUAAUUAUAGCCAUGCCAUCAAUCACAACAUUAUCAUAUUAGUUUCAUAUUUAGUCUACAAAUUUGAAUUGUCCGAUUUGAUUGCAACAAAUUAAAAAAUAGGGCAAACCUCAAAUACCACCCCUCGUUUCACACUUUCUGACUAUAAUAUCCUAUGAUUUAAAGUGUAUCAAUUUAUUACUCUGUGGCUUUUUUUUUUUUUUUCUUUUUAUUAGCUCCUGAUCCGUUAACAUUUCGUUAAAUUAUAUAAAAAAAAACUUCAGAUAGCCUAUCUAACUUUAUCGAAUAUUUACUUUAGUGGCUUUUAGUUUUAACUUUAUCAUUGAUUUAAUGAAAAAAAUUACUGAAAGGAAUAAUAAAAAGAGAAAAAUGAAAUCACGGGGUACUAAAUCGAUACACUUUAAACCACAGAGUACCAAAGUGAGAAAGUGUGAAACCACAUGAAUGGUAUUUAAAGCUUUUUCUAAAAAAACUUUAAGCUACUAACUAUCAACAAAUUAAAAUGUGAGUACUGAAGCGUCACAUGAUCUUGAAUUUGGCAACAAAAAAUAUAUUUUUAGCCAAAAAAAGACCAUACUUUGCGUAGGUAUAGUUUUUCAAGUUAUGUUACACAGUAAUUUUAUAAAAUUUAUUAUGUUGAGAGAAUUAUUUUUAUUGCCAUAAUUGAUUAGCUUAAGAAAUAUUUUUAAAAAAUAAAUUUUUAAAAGCAGAAAAAAAAAAUUGUUUCCAAACUUUUUGGUGUCUUCAUUGCCAAACAAAAUACCUUGGAUAUAGAAGUUUCAAGCAAUUACUCCUACACCUUUUCUAUAAAAGUUUUAUUAUAAAAAUUUUAAAAAAUAAACAUGCUACCGACCUAGCACUAAAUGAGAGAACAAUUGGAACUUUUAUCCAAGUGCAAAUAGUUGCUUAAGGUUUUGAAUUUUAGUAAAUUUUAAAAUUUUGUAAUUGGUCAAAGUGCAUUUAUAUUUUAUUAAAUAAGUCAAAAUCAAAAAGCGAUAUACGUCGAAUCUAUAUUUAUCUAUUUAUCAAUACUUUUAUAUUUAUACUUACUACAACAUUAAAAAAGAGUUGUGUUAGAUUAGGGGACAAACAAGUUACACGUUCCCCCGCCUCUCCAUCUACCACUUCAAUAAUUUUACAUACACCAAGAUUUCAAGUUCGAAUUUUAAUUGAUUCAUAUUUUUAGCUAAGUUUAUUUCUAAAUGAAAUAAACAAAACGGAUAACGUGCUACCUAUCUUAAAAAAAAAAAAAAAAACAAUUUUACACACAUCCGGUCUAUAAAUAUUACAUACAACAAACUUAUUUUAAUAAUAUUUCAUGCCCUUGGCCUAUUAAAUAUUACAUACACCAAAUCUAUUUUGUUAAUAGGGAAAAUUGUUUAUUUAAUUUUGAAAAAUUUUCGAUUUUCUGAUUUAUUACUCUUAGAAGAUCAAUAUUGAAAAUACAUUUUUUACGUUCCAAUCUAUUUCAAAUAUACCUCUACACCCCGUUUGGAUCGGAUUUAAAGGGGGAUAAGGGGGUUAUCCCCCCUUUAUACCCAAAAAAAAAUUUGAUAAGGUGGGAACUAUUGUUCCCACCUUCACCGGGUUAUACCUAUACCAGGUAAUAACCCGUAAGGUGGAACAAUAGUUCCCACCCGGAGUGGAACAAGCUUGUUCUCACCCACUGGGGAGAGAGAGAGAGAAUUUGUUUUAAAAUUAGAAUUUAAAUUUUAUAAUUUUAUAAUUAAAAUUGUAAAUUGUAAAUUGUAAAUUUUAAAGUUUAAAAUUUAAAUUUGAUAUUGUAAAUUUUUAAAUUUUAAAUAUGAUAUUUAUACAUUUCAAAUUAAAUUUGGUCUUAAAUUAAAUUAAAAUUUAAAAAUUUAUAUAUUUGAAUAUUUAAAUUUUAAUUUCAAAUUUUAAAAUUUAAAAGUUAAAAUUUUCAAUUUAAAUUUAUAAGUUUAAAAUUUAAAAAUUUAAAUUCAAUUAUAGGGGUAAUAUCAUUAUUUUCUAUUAUAAUCAUUAACUAUUUUUCUUAUUCCCAAUAACCAUCCGAACACAAUUUUUUUAGUUCCAACUUAUACUCACAUUUUCAUUCAAACAAAAAAAUACCCUUAUUCUUACAAAAAUUCAUACUUGUAUCUAUCCCCGGUAUAACCAGUUCCUACUAAUUCUCGAACCAAACAAAGCCAUAGAAUUAAAAUUUGUUAAUAAACGAUUAAUAAUAGUUGUUAUCUCUAUGAAAUUAUUAUUUUUUCCUUUCAAAUAUACACUUCUACUAUUACCAACUUUUCUUAUUCGUCCUUAGGUUAAGGGCACAAAAUGUAUUUUGAUUUUUGGUCUUUUCAAAUAUACCUUUCUAAAAUAACUAACAUUUCUUAUUUACUCGUAAGUUAAGAGUAAAAUAGGCAUUUUGAAUUUUUUUUUUAACUCUGAUAAAUAUUUAACUCGUAUUUAAUCUAACUUAACUUAACGUAUGACAGCCGUUAAGGAUAUUUUGGAAUAACGGAGGAAUAUAUGAGAAAUAUAUUAGAAAAAAAAAAAACGGUAAAGAAAAAGAAGAUAUUUUUAAGGCCAAUUUGCAUAAAAGAUUUACAAGUUUUGAGCUUUUGCAAAACUGGGUCACCUUUUCCAAUUUUGCAGAUUCGGACCGAAUUUUUUGCCAUCGGACGAAAAUGCCCUUAUUCCUUUUCUUUUCUCUCUCUUCUUUUUUUUUUUCCUUCGCCAUUUUUUUCUUCCGCCUUCUCCUCAUCCGCAGCGCCCUCCCUUUUCCUCACCAAUCGUGGCCCUUCCCAAAACGCCCCUUCCCAAACUCCUCUUUUUCCUCCUCCUCUUCUCUCCCCUCUCCUCCUAUUCUUCGUCCUCCUCCCUCUCCUAUUCCGAUCUCACCCCCGACGAGUUCCGCACUGCACGCCAAGGGCUCGCCCCGGGUCUCGCCUCCGCGGCGACGCCAUGCCGCGCUGCGCCGGGGAUCGCUCCGUAUUUUGGAACCUUACUAGGAAACGAAGCUGCUUGUGCGCGAGCGCGACCUCCGCGGCAGCGGCAGCAGCGCCGAGGUACUCGCGGUCGAGGACAGCCUCGUAGAAGAAGGCCUCGGCGAGGUAGAAAGAGUCGCUGGUGCGGCGGUACUGGCCAUAGUACAGCUGGGCGAUGCGGGAUACGACCUCGCCGACUUCGAGAUCGCCGUCCGAGUCCGACUCUCCGGCGAGGGAGAUGAGAGCGUCCAAAAAAUAUAAAUUUUUAAGGUGUAAAAAAUGGUGUAAUGGUGUAAAAAGGAAGAAGAAAAAGAAUGAGAAUGAGAAGGAAAAAUUGUACAAUUUUGAACAAAAUAGUGCAAAAUUGGACAAAAUUGUGCAAAAUUGUGCAAUUCUCAUUAAAAUUGGCCUAAUUUUUUGCCCAAUUUUGCAUCAUUUUGCCCAAUUUUACACUAUUUAGGUGAAAUCUACAUUAUUUUUUUCUUCUUCUUUCUCCAAUUUACACUAUUUUUUUUCUUCCUCUUCUUCCUCCUCUCUCAUCCUCCCUGAAGCUAUACGAAGAAGGUGGGAUGCGGGCCCCAAGCGGCCGCGGCAGCGGAGCGUGGCGCGGCGGUGCGGAGAAAGUGGGAUGCGGCAACAGCAGCAGUGGCGCGGUUGGCGGCCGCGGCGUCGUGUGGGAUGCGGGCCCCUGGCAACGGCGGCAGCGUAGCGCAGCGCUGCGGAGUGGAGAAGGUGGGAUGUGGCAGCGGCAACGAUGCGGGUGGUGGCAGCGGCGCGGGUGGAGGGAUCGGGGGAAGAUCCGGGCACGGUGGGGUUCGACGAAGAGGAGGAGGAAGGAGGGGAGGCGGGGCUGGUAGUAGAGGUAGGCGAACGCAAGCACGAUGGCGGUGGCGCGGGCGAGCACGAGCGCGGCGGCGAGGGUGCGGUAGAGGGCGCAGCGGUGGGUGGCGGAAGAAAAAAAAUAGCGAAGGAAAAAAAAGAAGAGAGAGAAAGAAAAUGAAUAAGGGUAUUUUCGUCCGAUGGCGAAAAAUUCGGCCCGAAUCUGCAAAAUUGAAAAAUGUGGCCUAGUUUUACAAAAGCUCAAAAUUUAUAAAUUUUUUAUGCAAAUUGGCCUAUUUUUAAAGUUUCAAGGGGUAUAAACAAUUAUCCCUUUCUAAUAUUUGAUAUUUUUAUUUCUUUAUUUAUUAUUACUAUAUAUUAAGGAGAGUUGCGUCACGUGAAGGAACAAACACGGGACACACGUGUUCCCCACCUCUCCUUCGUGCACUUCAACAAUAUUACUUACACCCGGCCUAUUAAAUAUUGCAUGCACCAACUUUUUUUUAAUUAUUAAUAUUUUGAAAUUAAAAUAUAAUUAUGAUAUAUAUAAUCCAUAUUAUAUAAAAAAUAUGUGUAUAAAAUAUUAUAGAGUUUAAAUUCCAAUAUCCGAGAUUUACUGGUACGGUGUAUAAGAUAUAAGUAUGCACCUGGUGCGGUGCAUGAAAUGAUCACCUCCCAAUCCACUGGUCUAUUAAAAAAGUUGCCUAUACCCAGUCUAUAAAUACACUGACCAUAAUUUUUAAUAAUUAAUAUUAUAAAAUUUAAAUAUAAUUUCAUAAAUACGAGUUAUAUUAUAUAGAAAAUCUCUUUAGAAAAAAUUAUUAGGAUUUAAAUUUUUAUAUUUAAGGUUUAAUAAAAUUUACUUACACAUCCAGUACACAUGUAAUAAUAUCCUCCUCUUCAAUAUGGGUAAAAAUAUAUAGAUCACCUCAACUAUAAUUUUUCUGAAUUGAGGCCAUUCAAGUUUUAUUUUUUUUAAUUUUAAUUUUUAUACUUAGUUAAAUUAAAAUAAUUAAAAUUAAUUAAAAUUAAUAAAUUUGAUAAAAUUGCCAAUAAAUUUGAUAAAAUUUAUAAAGCUCAGCUUAUUAAGAUUCGAGCAGAAAAAUUCAACUCGGUUCGACUCGUCUAUUUAAACAAGCGAAUAAUUUCGAGCCUAUUUCGAGUCAAACACGAACUUGCUUGCGGACAGUGAGCUGAAUUUGCCGGCCAUAAUUACGGCAAACUCUAAAAUACAAAAAAAAAACUUUUUAUAAUUUUUUUUAGGAUUUAUUUUGCAUUUGGUCCCUUAAAAAAAAUUUAUUUUAAAAAUAGCCCCAGCAAAUUUAUAUUUACAAAAAUAGCUCUAUCUCUACCACGCAAGCGCCACGUCAGCGGGGCUAAGACCAGUUUAUUAAGUUGAACACGGUGAACCAUUCACCGUGUUUAAGUACGGUGAUGGUUCACAGUGUUUGGAAAAAGUAUAAUAUAUAUCUAUUGCGAAAAAAUAUAAGAAAAAUAAAAAGAAGGAAGGAGGGGAAUAUAGAUAUGGAACACGAUGAACUAUUCCUCAUGUUUCAAUUUAAAAUUAUGAUACUGAUAUGGUACCUAUGUGGCAAAAAUAGGAUCAAAUUCAUCACUAUAAAUUUAAUGGGACUAUUUAUAAAAAAAAAAAAAAUGUUUUGAGAGAGCCAGAUGCAAAAAACGUCAUUUUUUUUAGAGGUCGGAGAAGAAUCGAAUUUGAAAGCGAGGAAGGAGCGCGAAGUCGCCGAGUACACGCAUGUGCGACGCGUGUACUAGUACUGUUGGGUAGGGUGGAAGGUUACCUAUCUCGCUGGAAAUGUCUAGGAUGUGACGAAUGAGUUGGAUCGCGGGGCCCACGUGUCGGUCUCACAAGCCACAUUCCUAGUGAGUGAUGGACAAUCACUAGUGUCGUGUCCCGCGUGUUGCGGCUGAUUUUUACAAAACAAACAUAUUCUAAAUAUUAUUUUUUUUUUUAUUAUGCCUGUUAUAUAAGCAUAAUUUAUCUAGAGCUACUGUACUAUAGCUACUGUACUAUUAGAAAGAUAGAGUAAUUAAUGUUUUCGAUUUUUUGACUUUUUAGAUUAAGAAUUGAAUUGGUAUGAUGAUUACGGUUCCCUUCUCCAGAAUUGAGUGGUCCCUACAAAGUAAUAAUAUUAAUUCAAAAGUUAGAAAUGACUAAAGAGGUUAAUCUAAGUUGUAAAAAAUCGGAAGGAUCGGAUUCUCUAUAUUUUCGAUAGUAUAGUAGCUCUACUCGUAUAAUUUUUAUAUCUUAACUAAUAAUUUAAAAUCCAAUCUAAUCGGUUUGACUUCGAUCCAGUCUAUUAACUAGUUUGGUUUGCCUUUUGAACCGUUUUAAACUGUGCGAACCUACUGUUUAAUCAUCGAACUGGUGAAUUAGUCUGAUUUUAAUCAAAAUGAUCGAAUUUUUUCGAUCAAGUUAUAUUAAAAUUCAGUGGCAUCUGUUACUAGCUCUUUUACAUUUUAUUUACUAUUCUUGUCUCAUAUAGAUCUAGCGGUGUAGGUUGUCAUUGUCGUCGACUGUACCCACUAAAAAUUAUUGAUUAUAGUUCUCACACCCUCCUUUGUUAAUUCUUUUUCAGAUACUUCAGCACGAGUUUCUAA
rnacentral:lncRNA from 1 species